GUUACAAGCCUUGCAAUUUGAUCCUAACAGACUCAAAGGAGUCUUGCUAAAAGUUGCCAUCCCCAUUUUGUUUGUAUAGUAUUCUUUGUUGAUAGCUGAUAUUGCAUUCCUUCUUAACCUGUUGUUGAACCAUCUAUUGAAAUAGCUUCGGAAGGUGAAAGCAGAGCUUGGAGAACUCUCUAACAAUCCCCAAGGCUUGCUUUUGGAAGCAAUUCACUCUGCUGGUUAUUCUGGUGCAUUGGCUUUUCCUCUUUUGGCUCCUGAAGCAGCACUGAACAGAUUGGACGGCCCCAAUUUAGAGGAAUUUGUUGUUGUAAGAUCUGUUAUCCUUUCUGAUACUGCAUGAAUCCUACUGGUAUUAGUUUAUGCAACACUUGUAGUUUUUACCAUUUUCUUUUUGUUAUUCCCCCUUGGUAUCUAUUUGAGAAUCUAAUUGUUGCUGGAUGUAAAAAAAUCAGGAGAAUUACACAGCACCUAGAAUGGUACUUGCAGCAUCUGGGGUUGAGCACGAAGAGCUUCUAUCUAUUGCUGAGCCACUUCUCUCUGAUCUACCAAAGGUUCCCCGUCCUGAAGAACCAAAGUCUAUCUAUGUUGGGGGUGAUUUUCGCCGUCAUGGUGAAGGGGUGUGUAUAGGUUUUUAUACAUAUUUACAUUUUUCUUGUAUCUCAUUCUUUUCAUUUAUCCCCUUCAAAGAAAUAUUGUUAUUUACCUGCAAAGAUAUGUUGCAAGGGCAGGGUACACAUGUUGCUAUUGCUUUUGAAGUGCCUGGUGGCUGGCAAAAAGAGAAAGAUGCUAUAGCUUUAACUGUUUUACAGGUACUCCAUUUUGUGUUUGAGUCUGAUAGAAUUACUGUAUUUUGUUUUUUGGUCCUUACUUUUGUUGCACAAUAAAGGACAAAUGAAAUGAUUGAAUGGAAGUAAUAAUUCUUGAAUUGUGCAGAUGCUUAUGGGAGGAGGUGGAUCAUUCUCAGCAGGGGGGCCUGGAAAAGGGAUGCACUCAAGGCUAUGUAAGUUUUACCUGUACUUUCUUGUCCGCUGUUUAGUUUGGUCAGCUACGUGCUUUAACAUUGUCAUUAUCUUAAAUUAAACUCUCCAUUUAUCUGUCUAAUGUGCACUUCACCUUCCUUCAUCAUUUUAGUUUCAUGCAUACCCAACUCUAAUAUUUUAACUUGUUUUGCAUGUACAACUGAAUCCAGAUCUUAAUGUGCUGAAUGAAUAUCAACAGAUUCAAUCUUUUUCUGCAUUCAACAGUAUCUUCAAUAAUACAGGACUGUUUGGCAUCUAUGCAAGCACUGUAAGCAAACACUUGUCACUAUUUCUAGACAUUCCUUUACUCAAAAAAUAUAUUUUUGAAUAUAGAUAUGUAUUUCCUUCUUUUUCCCCCUUUGAAAGGCUGGGUUAUUAUGUCUAGGGGAACAAGUUGCCUUAUAUUAUGCAAUGUUGUUAGAAGCUAGACAGCCUAGACUCAAAAUGUGCUUAUUAGUUGAAGACAAAGUUGUCUUGAUGAACAUUGAUCAAAGUGUAUGGCUAGUUUGAGGAUUAUACAUGGCUUGUUGAUGACCUUUGAAUUGUUACUCAUGAAUUAUGAUUGCCAUAAUUAAACAAACUAGUUAUUCUACUUUCUUUUCCUUUUCCCUUUUGAUUAAUUUUUAAUAUUAUCAUGGGAUUGGACAAGAAAUAUAGGGAUUGGAGAUGUGUUGCUUUUCUUAACCUUUGUAAAGGAUAUAUGCUCUUUUUGUAUAGGGGAAUUUCUAACUAUGUUUAGUUCUGAGUUUUUGGAGAGAAUGAUGAUAAAACAGAGAAACAAAAAUAGGAAUAUUAGGUGGCACUUGGUUUUAGUGUUUUCUGUUUCCAUUUUUGAAGAAAACAAAAAAUAAGAGUGAAAAUAUGUUUGUUUAAAAUUUAGAAAACAUUUUCUCUGAAAAUAUUUUCAAAAACAGGUCCAAAACUGAAAACAACACAUCGACAUUUUCAGUCUUUUCUGAAGAAGUGAAAACAUGGUGGCACCUAGAGUACUUUCUUCUCAAUACAUGUUUUCUAAAUCUUGAAAAUUUGAAAAUGAAAAUAAAAAAUAAACACUCAAACCAAGCACCACCUUACAUAGUGUUAAUUUAAUUACAAAAAAUGACCAAGGAGAGAAUUCUCCUUACAAGGGUUUCCCCUUCACAAAGUGUUUCCCCUUUAUACAACUGAACUAACUAAUGUUCAAUUCCCAAAUGACAACAAAUCGCAAUCUAUCCCUUCUAAUCUAUUCUCCUAUUUAAGCUUAUUCCCUACCUCUUGAACUGCCCCAAUACUACUGUUUUAACUAACUACUCUUGUGAGAACAUUUUUUAGAGGGAAUAAUUGCUUUUUUUUUUUAAAUCUUUCUUAUGAAACUGCCAAAAAUAAGUAAUUACUUCUUCAAAAUAAGCUAAACCAUAAGUUAAUAGUUACUGCUUAAUAUGUUAUGCUGAGGUUGACACAUUCAAAUUUGUGCAUGUAGAGCCCUGAUUUUGUGCCAAAAACUGUUGAUAUAGCAGCCAAAGAACUAAUAGCAAUUGCUUCCCCUGGACAAGGUUUUACUUCUCUCCUGUUUCUGCAGUAUUUUAGUUAGAAUCUUUAUUUGUGUGAAAUUAAACUAGCAUUUCUUUCGAUGACAGUUACACAGGUACAGCUUGACCGAGCCAAAAAAUCCACAAAGUCUGCAGUUCUAAUGAAUCUGGAAUCUAGAGUAUGCUCUUGCCUUCUUUAAUACAUAAACUGUAAUGUGUUAAAUCCUUUGAAAGCUUCUCUUCUAUUUAGACUCCUUUGUUUAUGCAUCAUUCCAGGGGCAUCAAUUUUUUCAAUUUCUAUUUAUCUAUUAGUCUUCAAUAAUGUUAGGAACUGAUGUUAUUAGACUCAGUACUUAGUGAAAAGCUUACAUUUACCUCAUCCCAAAGAGAUGUGUGGGGCCUAAAACCUACAGCAUGCGAGACCCCACUUGACCAACCCCUUGGGUUCACAGUUCCCUUUAUACACAUCCUCAUGUAUGUCUCAUUACCACGGUUUUAUCACCUUUUUUUUUGUGUUUUCCUUUGAACAUGUCCACCUCAAACACAAUUUUCAUGCCUAGCUUAGCCAGGGUCUCCUUCCCUCCUGAAACUAUGAAAGCUCUUAAAAAAGUAUGCCGAUUUAGAAUCAUUGCAUGCUUAUGCCUUGUGAUUCUUUUUUGAGAAAUGCUAGCAACGCACUCUCAACACGUUCCUCCUAACACACUCUUUAUAAUUGGUUGAAAUUUAUUAGAAGUCACAAUUUUUUAUAGGUCCCACUUGUUAUUUAAUGACUCUUUUCUGAUUUUGUAAUUUUUAAUAAAUUCUAACCAAUGAUAGAGUGUUAGGAGGAGUGUGUUGCCAGCACUUCUCUGCUGAACUCUGUCUGGUUAGAUUUCAUUUGGAUCUCAUUCUUAAAAUAAUCAUUUUUUUGCAGAUGAUUGCAUCAGAAGAUAUAGGAAGGCAGAUUUUGACUUAUGGAGAAAGGUAAACAAUCAAUCUCAAAAGACCUUAAAAAAAUUCUUUUCGUUUAUAUGUUGCUGGCACCUUUUCUCAUUUUACGAAUAUACUCUAUUCACAAGCUAUAAUUCUUGAAUGGAAGUGUAUUGUUACCCUUUUCAGGAAGCCUGUGGAACAGUUCUUGAAGGCCGUAGAUGAAAUCACGUUGAAUGAUAUCACUAAAAUUGCUCAGAAGAUUAUUUCCUCACCUUUGACGAUGGCAUCAUAUGGGGAUGGUAUUAAGUUUUUCCUUUCAAGAAUUUCUUUACUAAUUGAUAACUCUAGACUUGACUGAGAAACAUGAUUUCUUUCUUUUGUGGCAGUCAUGAAUGUGCCAAGUUAUGAAUCUGUUAACAGCAAGUUCCAUGCAAAAUGAAAUUGCAUGUGAUCCACCUUCGGCUCAUCAUAUUUUCUGGAUCACAAGCAUGCCUACUUCCAAUUUUCAAGAGCAAUAUACACCGAAUCAGCAAUGCUGAAAAUAAAUCCCAGAGAAUUUUUUUGUGCGGAUCUGAGGAACCAUUGUUCUUGUUCCAUGUUUGUUUUUUUUUUUUAUAACGAUUUGCCUUACUGUAUUAGGUGCAUCGGUCUUAUGGCUAAUGUGCACCUUAAUUUUUUAUUUUAUGAACUAAUUCUCAAGAGAGCACGAAAGCCAAGCCACGCAUGAAUAGAUCAAGAAAAAUGCAAGUAAUAAUUUUCUAACAUGUUCUACAGUUUCUCUUGGAUAUAUUUAUUUAGGGUUUAUUAAAUAUUAAAUAUAAUCCAUUAAAUAAGUGGCAGGUCUUGUAUCAUUUUGUUGGCCCUAUUAUAUCAAUUGUUAAAUUUUUAAAAAAUGAACAAAUGUUUGACCUAUUUUUUAAUGUUUUAAAUAAUAAUUCAUAGUCAAAAUAUUUCAAGAUUUUUGUUUAGAAGUUUAAAACAUGUAAUAUCAAAACUAUAAUAAAGGUUUUCUACUAAAAAAAAGGGAUCCACAAUGAAGAUUAUUUUUCUUGGUUCUGCAGAGAGUAUAAUAAAGGCAAUCGUACUAUGAAAAAUUCAUUUGAAAUAUUUAAUAAAAUUAGUUGAUUAACUUACUGAUAAGUAUUACAUAUAUUUAGUUAAUAAAAAAGUAUUUUCUAAAAAAUAAAAUAAAUAGUACAAUAAGUAAAACAAAUUGUGUAAUAUUAAAAUGAGGUAAUAAAUGAGUAGUUUUAUUAAAGUAUUUAUGCUAUAAACUAGUGAAACAAGCUUAUUUAUUAAAUAUAUUUUGUCAAACAAAAUUAGAGUAUAUAUAUGUGGAAUAUAUUUGAUUAAAGUACAUUUUUUUAUACGAUUUGCCUUAGCUACAUUUUUUUAAAAAAAAGUUUCAAAACAAAAAAUGUGGAAUAUAUUUCCUUAAAAAUAUGUUCAAUACUAAAAAUACAUUCAAAACCCUUAUCUAAAUGCAUUGUUUGGAAGGAGACCAUAACAAAAGGAAAUUAAAAAAAAACAUUUCUUUCUUGAUUUGACAUUUUUUAUCACCAUGUAGAAUAUUCAUCCAUUUAUUAAUUUAUGUUGGAUAAUCUUUAGUGAGAUUUUCAUCUCAAUUAUAUUUUUUUAUCCAUAAAACUUAAACCUAAAAUUUUAUUUAAGGAAAUUAAACUUAUGACCACUCAUAUCAACCAAUGAUUUGCUGGUUUCCCGAUUUGACUUUGACAACACGUUAUGAAGGAAAAAAUCUUAUAAAAGUAAGUUGAAUUCAUUUUUGCAAUCUACCCAAUUUGGGUGGAAAGAAAAAGAUGAUUUUAUAAAAUUAAAAUAUCAAAUUAUUCUUAUUUAUACAUUUUUAAUUUUUAUUAUAAAUAUUUAUGCCAUUGUAUGUAUAUAAUUUCUUUUCUUCUACUUUAUGUAUAGCAAAUAAGAAAAAAAUAUCUUAUAUUUUAUUUUCUCUUUUACCAAACACCUUAAAAAUCAUUGAAUAAUCUUUUUCCUUCAAGGAUGUGUUUGAGACAUCGAAGAAAAUUAAAUUAUUUCAAUAAUUGAUUGAAAUUGAUUAUAAUCAGAAUCAAUUUUUAUUUAGAUAAAUUUAUUAAAAAAAGUGAUCCCAAAUAAUUUCGUUUGGAUAUAACAAAAAAUUAGCUUUUACACUUUCACAUAGAAAGAGUAUGAAAACAGCCGGGGGAAAACUGACAAAAAAUAAUCAUAAGUUAUAAAUUUUUAGUUCAUAUAAACAACUUAUUUCUUAAAAAUAAAGUUUUUUUCUAAAUCGAAGUUAAGAUUCUAAACAUCCAACUGGAAACAACUUUAUUUUCAAAUAAAUAAGCUGAAAUUUGAUAUUAUAAUCGUUCCAAACAUGCCUUAUUUUCUUUCUUUUCUUUUGCCUUUUUAUUUUGCUAACAACUUUAUUUUUCUAAUAAAUAAGUUGAAAGUUGCUAUCAUAGCUGUUCCAAACAUAAUUCUUUUUUUUUUCUUCUACUUUUUCUACUUUUAUUUUGUUUCCUAAAACAAACAAUUCUAAAAUAUAGUUUAAAAUCCAAAUUAAAUUAUUGCAUUAAAUAUGAUUUUAUACUAUAAUCAAAUAAAUAAUAAGUUAACAAACAAUUUACCAAAUCUAUUGUAUACUUUAAGUCUUGAAUUAAAUAUACUUUAAUCAUAAAUAUAUUACCUUUUACAGCGAAAAUGUACAAUAAUGUCAGAUAUUGGAUAAAGUAGUCUAAGAAAUUUGAAAAUAAUGAGCAGGAGAUAGUCACGUGGCAAUAGAGUGUUGACAGAGGAUAGUGUCCUUCGAAAUUAUGUGCAAAAUGAUUACAAAGUUGAUGUGACUGAGCAGGAAACCUACCCUAAAAAGAAUUCAAAAUAGUGAUAUGGUUUUACUCAUCCACGGCCCAGCCAGGCAAAUUUCCUGCAUGGGUUACUUUUAGAAACAUUUUCCCGAAAUGAGUAUGUUUCUAAAGUAAUCCCUGCAUGGUGCUCUUUUUUACGUAGAGACCAUGCAAAUCGCAAGGAGGAAUGGCGAUUUCGUCGUCGACGCGACAGCUGGCACCAGUGUCGCCAUCUUCAAUGGCGUGUUGCACCAAGCUUGGACUCGCCAGUUUGACUGGCGAGUUGAGGGUAGGGGUUUGCAGUUCCUAGGUGCAGCUAUUUCCGACGCUGCAGUCUGCAACCUGCAAUGGGCAGUUCCUAGGUGCAGGGUGUCGCCAGCUCCAAUGGCGUUUUGGUUGGCCAAAAUCACCAGCACGAGCAGCGAUUUGCCUUGCUUGGGGUUUUUAAAUCCCCCUCCCCUGUAGACCAUUGACGCCUGAAAAAGAUAGAGAAGAGAGAAGCUUGGUGGUGGGAUUUUUGCUGGUGCUGAAGAAGGAUUUGCCUUGCUGUUGUGCUGUUUGUGUUUGAACAAAUUUCUUUUUUCAGUGAGUUUAUUUAAUUAUUUUUUAAUUUUAUUUGUAUGCUGAUGAUAAUUAUAGUUUUAUUAAUAUUUGUUAUUAGUAUUUUUAUCUUAAGUUAGUUUUAGUUAGAAUUUAUAAUUAUAAUUUUAUUAAUAUGUGUUAUUAGUUUUUUAUGUUAAGUUAGUUUUAGUUAGAAAGGAUAACUUUAAUUUAAUUUGAUAAUUUAAUAUGUGUUAUUAGUUUUUUUUUAUCUUAAGUUAGUUUUAGUUAGAAUUGAUAAUUAUAAUUUUAUGAAUAUGUGUUAUUAGUUUUUUUUAUGUUAAAUUAGUUAUAGUUAGAUAUGAUAAAUUUAAUUUAAUAUGUGUUAUUUGUUUUUUUUAUCUUAAGUUAGUUUUAGUUAGAAUUUAUAAUUAAAAUUUUAUGAAUAUGUGUUAUUAGGUUUUUUAUCUUAAGUUAGUUUUAGUUAGAAAUGAUAAAUUUAAUUUAAUUUGAUAAUUUAAUAUAUGUUAUUAGCUUUUUUAUCUUAAGUUAGUUUUAGUUAGAAUUUAUAAUUAUAAUUUUAUUAAUAUGUGUUAUUAGUUUUUUUAUGUUAAGUUAGUUUUAGUUAGAAAUGAUAACUUUAAUUUAAUUUGAUAAUUUAAUAUGUGUUAUUAGUUUUUUUUAUCUUAAGUUAGUUUUAGUUAGAAUUUAUAAUUAGAAUUUUAUGAAUAUGUGUUAUUAGCUUUUUUAUGUUAAGUUAGUUUUAGUUAGAAAUGAUAAAUUUAAUUUAAUUUGAUAAUUUAAUAUGUGUUAUUAGUUUUUUUUUUAUCUUAAGUUAGUUUUAGUUAGAAUUGAUAAUUAUAAUUUUAUGUGAAUAUGUGUUAUUAGUUUUUUUUUAUCUUAAGUUAGUUNNNNNNNNNNNNNNNNNNNNNNNNNNNNNNNNNNNNNNNNNNNNNNNNNNNNNNNNNNNNNNNNNNNNNNNNNNNNNNNNNNNNNNNNNNNNNNNNNNNNNNNNNNNNNNUUAUUAGUUUUUUUUUUAUCUUAAGUUAGUUUUAGUUAGAAUUGAUAAUUAUAAUUUUAUGUGAAUAUGUGUUAAUAGUUUUUUUUUAUCUUAAGUUAGUUUUAGUUAGAAUUGAUAAUUAUAAUUUUAUGUGAAUAUGUGUUAUUAGUUUUUUUUAUCUUAAGUUAGUUUUAGUUAGAAUUUAUAAUUAUAAUUUUAUGAAUAUGUGUUAUUAGCUUUUUUAUCUUAAGUUAGUUUUAAUUUGAUAAUUUAUCUUAAGACUCUUCAACGUAUGAGUUAGACACAAGAUAAUCAUCAUCAUCAUCAUCUUCGUCAAGAUUUAAAUUGCUCAUAUUUGUUGGCGGUUGUGUGUCAUCGUUAGAUACAUAAUUUCCACAUGAUGUAAGGGAAUUUGCAGAAUGAAACAUUGAACCACCAGCCACAUCCUUUUCUAUGUACAAUUCUAGAACUGACAUUUCUUGUUGUUGUUUAAAACUUUCCAGCAUCGUCUCAACGUCUUCGUCAUCACAAAUUUGCAAGGAAGUAUAUUUUCCUGACACUAAAAAUCUACAGCUGAUAGCAGAAAUAAUUUCAUUAUUUUGUAACUUUACCUUAUCUCCAAUUUUUUUCUUCAAAGCAUUGAAACUAAUUCCACGUUUAAUCUGAAUCGCUUUUUUACUGCCUUCAAAUAUUACACCAUCAUUAUCUUCAUAUACCCUUCCAUUGAAAUACAACAUUGUUAUAAUCGAAUUCAUCGUGUACCUACAAAAACAAUAUUUUAACACGUCAAAUAAAUUAUAAAAUGAGACACACUUAAAUCAAAUGAAUAAUUUCAAACUAAUAAAAUCUAAUCACAAAAGGUCCCUUUAUUGGAAUUUCACAUUCAAUUUGUCUUUUAAAAUAAUUUAAUUAACUUGAAAUAAAUUUCAUGGGACACACUUAAAAAAAUGAAUAAUUUCAAACUAAUAAAAUCUAAUCACAAAAGGUCCCUUUAUUGGAAUUUCACAUUCAAUUUGUCUUUUAAAAUAAUUUAAUUAACUUGAAAUAAAUUUCAUGGGACACACUUAAAAAAAUGAAUAAUUUCAAACUAAUAAAAUCUAAUCACAAAAGGUCCCUUUAUUGGAAUUUCACAUUCAAUUUGUCUUUUAAAAUAAUUUAAUUAACUUGAAAUAAAUUUCAUGGGACACACUUAAAAAAAUGAAUAAUUUCAAACUAAUAAAAUCUAAUCACAAAAGGUCCUUUUAUUGGAAUUUCACAUUCAAUUUGUCUUUUAAAAUAAUUUAAUUAACUUGAAAUAAAUUUCAUGGGACACACUUAAAAAAAAUGAAUAAUUUCAAACUAAUAAAAUCUAAUCACAAAAGGUCCCUUUAUUGGAAUUUCACAUUCAAUUUGUCUUUUAAAAUAAUUUAAUUAACUUGAAAUAAAUUUCAUGGGACACACUUAAAAAAAUGAAUAAUUUCAAACUAAUAAAAUAUAAUCACAAAAGGUCCUUUUAUUGGAAUUUCACAUUCAAUUUGUCUUUUAAAAUAAUUUAAUUAACUUGAAAUAAAUUUCAUGGGACACACUUAAAAAAAAUGAAUAAUUUCAAACUAAUAAAUUUUAAAGACAAAAUAAAAAAAUUCAUGAACGAAAUUAAUAAUAUAAAUAAUUAAUCUUAACAAUAAUAACUUCAAAAUGAAAUACGGUAAUUACAAAAUUACUACAAAUAUAUUCAAAUAAAUAUGCUACGAGAAACAACAAAGCAUCGUCAAAUAAAUUUUUAUGGUGUAUUUCGUUAAAUGAUUUGACGGAAAAAAAUAUAACAAAAAUUUAAACGUAUUAUUAUGGUGUUUGUAAUUUGUAAGUGUCUAAAUAUCAAUAACAUCAAUCAUUUGUACAAUAUCUCAAUUAGGCGGGCAUAUAAAUAGUUAAUCUUCACAAUAAUAAAAAUAGGUAAUUACAAAAUUAUUACUACAAAUAUAUUAAAAUAAAUAACACUUUCAACUUCAACGCAUAUAAAUUUUUAACACACUAACAAAUGAACUUAAUCUAAUUUAAUUUAAAAAAUAUUAUAACUUCAUCUUAAAAAAACACCAACAUAAACACAUUUCAAAGAACACUCAUAAAUUUUUAAGACACUAAUAAAACAUAAACACCAACUUAAUAUAAUUAUAAAAUAACUAUAAACUUCAUAUUCAAUACAAUUUUUUUUACACCAACACCAACUUAAUAUAAUUUAAAAAUAACUAUACACAUUUGAACUUUUAUACCUUAAAGCUGUACCUUGAACCUGCCUUCAACAAUGUUUUUAGGAUUCAACACAAAAUAGGAUAAACAAUUUGAAACUCACUAUUUUUUAGAAAAGGCACAUAAAAUAUCAACUCUCAGAUGAUUUCAAGAAACGCACAUCAAAUGGGCGGAGCUUUGGUUUAUAAAGGAGCUGAAAUCGCCAUCGGGAAUGGCUACUUCAUGCUCAAAUCGCCAGUGCUACUGGCUACUCCUACCUGCAGCACAAAUCGCCAGUAGCACUGGCGUUUUCCACCAAAAAGCUGUCCCUCCUCCUGCAGAGCUGCUGCACGUAGCCUGAGAACUGCAAACCCCUACCCUCAACUCGCCAGUCAAACUGGCGAGUCCAAGCUUGGUGCAACACGCCAUUGAAGAUGGCGACACCGGUGCCAACUGUUGCGUCGACGACGAAAUCGCCAUUCCUCCUUGCGAUUUGCAUGGUCUCUACGUAAAAAAGAGCACCAUGCAGGGAUUACUUUAGAAACAGACCCAUUUCGGGAAAAUGUUUCUAAAAGUAACCCCAUGCAGGAAAUUUGUCGCCCAGCCACUUAGUAUUCUUUUGAAUGUAAAUUAGUAUCCGCGCGUAUGUAUAACUAUGCCGGUCAUUACACGUUUUUUAUAUCAAUUUAUAUGUGAAAGUUUAUCAAAUGUAUAAUUUGUUGCAUAUACAUUUGUGCUGAUAAAUCGGUACCUAGUCACAUACAUUUAGUAAAUUAGUGAUUUAUGUAAUGAGAAAUUAGAAUAUUAACACAAAUAUAUAAUUUUAAAAAUAUUUGUCAGGAGAAUUUAUAUUAUAAUAAUUGACAUUAUCCUUCUUUAGAUUUUUAUAUCAAAAAAUAUAAUUAAUUAUUGAAUUUAUAGAUGGGAAGCAAAAGUAUUGAAGCUGAGGACAUUAUUUCUUAAAAAUACUUACCAGAAUAUAUUUAAUGUUGAUUUAAAAUAUACUUAAUUGUUGUUAUAACAUGAAAAUCUGCCUAACUAUAAAGAAUAUGAUUAAUAUUUUAUAGAAAGAUAAAUAUUAUAAAUACAGUUAAUCAAUUUUAAGAUAUUUAUCAUAAAUUUUACAAAACUUUCUUAAAAUUUAUAUUUAUGGUUGUCUUUAAUGGAUUUCCUUCUUUAUUAUGUCAUGUAUUAGUAUCUUUAAUUAAUUCUGCCUAUAUCAAUUAGUUGUAGACAUAAGUUUUUGUUUUAAAAUUUUACCUACAGUGGCCAUUUGUAAGUAGAAAUCUUUUUUUUUUUAUCUAUAACAAUUAACUGUGGAUAUAAGUUUUUAUAGGAUUUUACUUACAUCAAAUAGUUGUAAGCAAAAAUCUUUUUAUGUUUUAUCGAGAUAUACCUGUACCAAAAAUUGUAGAUACAAAUCUUUAAAUUUAACCUACCAUAAACAAUUAAAGGAAAAAAUAAUUUUAAAUUUUACUUAUAGAAUUGAUCUUUUCAUUAUUUUUAAUAUUUUUUAUUCAUAAUCUUUUCAUUGUUUUUAAUAUUUUUUAUUCAUAAUUUUCUUCACUACUACUAACUUUUGCAGCUUCCUGGUGUAGGCUUAAUUUUCUUCUUUAAAUAGACAAUAUUCCUUUAGCUAGCUAGAUACAAGAAAUUAAAAUAUUUGUGAACGGUAAGCGCGGCAACCUCUUUUUAUGGUCCACGUGAUAUAAUAUAACUAUUAGUUAUUAAAUUUAUCCUCAUUAACUUAACAACUUAAUGUUUGUCUAAUAAAAACUAAUUUAUUAGUGAAUAAGGAUUUCAUUUGUAAGUUUACGUUAAUGAUAAUUUUUUUGCUUGAUUACAUGUACAUUAAUGAGCUUUUUGGAUUUUCUUUUUUAGUGACAAACGGUGGAUAUCUCUUGAUCGGUAUAAGAUUCAUUUAAGUUAUCUCCAAGUGAGGAUGUUUGAUGAGUUUUUUAGGAUAAAAACAUUUUUUUUAUUUUUUUUGUUACUGGAGAAGUUGAGUUGAUAUUAUGAGUUUCUUUAUUUUUCUGGCUUGAGUAUCUUAUAUAGUGAAUAUUUUAAAAUUUUACAGAAUAAAAACAAUUGAAAUCGAGGAUAGAAAGAAUAAAGACGUACUACAACGCAAAUUACGAGAAGAAAUAACACAGACCAUAACUUUAAUUUAAAAGUAGUUUUUAAGUAAGAACAUAUUUUUUUAUUUUAAAGUUACAAUUUACAAUAGGACUUUUAAAAAUAAAAUAAAAUAAAAUUGUUUGUUAAUUUUUAUUUCGUUUCAAUUAAAAGAGAAGAUUUAAAAAUGACAAAAAAAAAUACAUAUAUAGAGAGAGCGGGAAGCACUACCAACGAAGAGGGAGAGCCAGAAGAGAGUAAGAAGAAAGAAAGCAAAAAGAGUGUGAAGAAAGAACGAGGGAAAAGGGAGAGGAUGAGAGAGAGAUCAAGAAAGGAUGAAGAAAGAAGAGAAUUAAAGUUAACGUUUUUUCUCUAAGUUCUGUUACGUACUUUUUAAUUUCUAUUAUAAAAGUGUGAGUUUAAUUUUCAUAUAUUAUUGGUAUAAAGAUUUUUGCAUUAUAAAAAAAUUGGAAAUCGUUUUAAAUGUUAACUUUUAAAGUAAUUAUUUAAAAAUUAACUAUUUAAUCAAUGAAUUUAUUAUUAAAUUUAGAUGACAAUGUACAAAAAAUAUAGAUUUGACUCAUCUAAAGUAACUAAGAGUAAAAAAAAAAAACGUAAUGUUGAUGAGAAAAUUAAUCUCGUUCAAAAAAUAAACGGGAAAAUUAAUCAUUAAUAUUCUAGCGCAUAAAUAAUUUGCUACGAAUAUACAAAUAAAUUUUAACUUUUGACUUUUCCAUAAAUAAUUGAGUUACUAAAUAUUUUAUCUUCUAAAGUAGGUUACUCAUUAGUUCAAAAGAAGCCGAAUCUAACAAACUUUAGAAUUUUAUGCGUAGAGGCUAAAAUAAAAGUAUGCGCAAAUACAGCUACUAAAAGGUUAAUUAAGCCUAAUAAAAUAAAAUUAGUAGAACUAAAAAAUAGUAGUGUAUAGUUCACAAACUUUUGUUCUCUAAACUCUAGAAACUAGCUCGUAUUGUCUAUUUAAAGAGCAAAACCCUACACCAUCUAAUAUGUAUGCUGCACAAGUAUUUGAAGUGAAUUAUGAUAGCCUGAAAAAGCAGUGACAUGAAAAUGAAGGUACUACUUGUUUUGUUUGUUGCUACAAUUUUGGUAGCAUCGCAAUGCCAUGGGUACAAAAUGUUCCCUCUCCAAAUGAAAAUGGCACAAUACACUACGGAGAUAUCACGUGCAAGUUGGAGGCUUGGAGUGGAAGCAGUGGGAGAGUGGAGAGUGUCUAACCAUACAUGAACUAAUAAUAUAUGUGAAUAAUUAAGAUUAAAAUCUGUUUGAUUUGCUAAAAAAUAAAGAAUUCGAUAAUAUAAAAAUAUUUUGUCUAACGUUUAAUUUAAAAAAUGACUAAAAGAUAAUACAAAAUAAAGAAUAAUAAAUUAGACAAAUAUUUAAAAAUUGUAACUUACUAAAUUCCGAUACAACUUUUUAUUUAGUGUCUAACAAAAAUAAAAAUACAAUAUUGUUCCUAUUUACCUCCCUCCUCGCCUUUGUCACGUCCCUCGUCAUAAAUCUUUCAGACCACUCCAUCCUCUUCAUUCUCGUCUUCCCCAACACUUAUCUUGUCUCUGAUGAUCACUUCUCCCGCUACCACCUCUCCUUGGCUACCCUUGUCGACAUCCUUCACUAUCACGUCCUCUUCCAGUUCCUCUCUUGGUCCGACCUCCGCCCCCUCCCCUUCCUACAAGUUGGAGGAUUGGAGUGAAAGCCCUGGGAGAGUGUAGAGUACACUAUGUGUACACAUACAGCACACCUGUACUCCCCUCCAACGUCAUCAUCCUCUCGAUUCGAUUACCAAACAAUGUACAAUACAAAAAGUUUUCUUAUAACCCAAUUAAUUAUUUAGUGUUGUUUUGUCCGUUCUAUUUUUUUAAUAAAUCAAACGCACCCUAAAAGAUAACUAGUAACCAAAAUAAUAAAGGAUUAAUUGAUAAUUCUAUAAUUAAUUACUUAUAUAUAUAUAUAUAUAUAUAUAUGUGUGUGUGUGUGUGUGUGUGUGUUAGCAACACAUUCUCUUAAAUGUUAUUUAUCAUUUGUCAAAAUUUAUUAGAAGUAGCAUAACUUAAUGAGUAUCUUUUAUUUAUUUGUAAUUUUGAAUAAAUUUUUAUUAAUAACUAAUAAUAGUUUACUAGAAGAGAUAUUGCUAGCAUUCCUUGUGUAUGUAUACAUGGAGAGAUGAAGUUAGUGUAAGAGUAAUUUUUGUGAAUUAUUUUAUUUAAUAACUCUCUGUAUAUAUUAAAUUUUAAUAAUCCAAUUAUUGAAUUAAUUUUUUUAUUGAAUACAUAAAAUUUAAAAAAUAUUCAUAAAAUUUUAAAACUAUUUGAUACUUCAUUGAAUAAGUUCAAUUUAAUUUGUAUAAUACUUUUUUAAAAUAUGAGCAAAUGUCCAAGUAUAAGAUUACGUAAGUACAAAUGUAUAAUUAUUUUAAGAAUAUGUUGUGAAUGAUCAUCGAGUCGAUAUCAACUUACUUAAAGUUAAAUUAAUAGAUUUUAAUGUACAAAACAAAUCAUUGAAGAAAAUAAUUUUUCCUAAAACUAUUCCUAUAAUAACUUGAUUAUUCUUAUAUAGAGUAAAUGACCAUUUUAGUUAUUGAAAUUGUAGAGUGUUUUCAUAAUAUUCUCAUAAAAUAAAAAAUAUUAAUAAUCUCUGAAAUUAAAAUUAAUAUAAUUUCAACCCCUAAUAUGUAUAAAAAAAUUAUUAUUAUUAUUAUUCUUAUUAUUAUUAUAAUCCCUAUUUUACACCUUAUUGUCAUUAUAGUCGAUAACAGAAUUGACAGCAUACAUGGGACUAACAUGAUUAACGAAUUUAAAUUUUAAACAUUUAUUGACAAUUUUUUAAUUUCAGAAAUUAUUGUAACUGCACAUCACAGUUUCAAUAAUCAAAAUAAUAGAUUAUUCUUUCUUUUCUGACAAUAAAGUAAACUCAUAGUAAGUUAUGACAUUAAUUUUUAAAGAAAGUAGAAUAUGAAAAAAAAGUUAUAUAUAUGUCGUUCUAUUUACAUAUAACAUAUAAUUAAAGGACUCAAAUUACUUAUCGCUUAUCAUAUUUUGUGAAUUACUCUUCUUAUAUUUGUGCGUGUGCGCAAAUUUUCACCUUUUUUGGGGAAGGGAAUAAUGUUAUUUUGGUUAGAAAUGGUAUUGAAAAUAACAUCCAGCAAACUACAUGGACAAGUGGUAAUAAUAUUGUGAUAUAGUGUCAACAUUGAGAUUAAAAUGAGUUAUUUUAAAUUAGAGAGAUUAAAAAAUUAUUUUUAAAUUUAAGGAGAUUAAAAGAAAAUCAUAUUUAAAGGUCAAAAAAUAUAUUUAAGAAAAACUUUAAAGGUCAAACCAUAGGGCACCCACGAAUUAUUUGGUCGGGUGAGAAAAAUAUAAAUAUAUUACAAUAACAUUUUUAUUUAGUAGGAGAGAAACUAAAAAAAGAAAAAAAAAUCUUUUACUUUCUCUUUAAAUCAAAAUAAAUGUAAUUCAAUGGACUAACACAUGCGCUCUAUGAGAGAUAAUCUUAAUUUGAUCUCAAGCAACACAUCCUUAAAAAGAGAAAACAAAAAUUCAUCAAAAAAAAGAGAAAACAAAACUUAAAAAUGAGAUUUUAAAAUAUCAGAAAGAGAAAAACUUCUAGCUUUUAAUUUUUUAUAUUUAUUUUUCUUUUGUUCUUGAUAAUUUUUUAAUUUUUUAUUUAAGAUAAAAUUAAAAGGAGAAAAAAAUUCAAUGGACAACACAUGCGCUCUGAAUAAUGCACGUUCAGAGAUGGUGACAAAUGAUCUACCAAAAAAAAAAGCAGCAUUGCAACCUACAGAAAAGAGAUGGUGACAUAGGGUGGUGAGUCACCGGCAUUUAUCAUAAUGCUCUAGACCCACCAGCAUCAACCAAUUAGAUAUGCACGAUUUUUAGGGGAAAAAAAAAUCUAAGUGUCCACCUCAUUUUGGGUGAAUUGACGUAGAAGGAGGAGCAAGAUUAGAAAAAAAAAAAAGAAGUAAAAUUAAAGAACAUGAUAAAUAAACUUUAUGUAAUGAAAAAUUUAACAAAAAGAACAUUUAAUAAUAUUUUUAUCCUCAAAUUUGUGUCAAUACUAUUUUAGAUCCCCGAAAUUUAAAUUUGUUUUUUUUUUCUCAAGUCUAUAAGUUAUCUUUUGAGUUUCUUGUGAUUGAUUUUUUUCCCGUAAAGAUGUAUAGUUUGUGGCAUUUUUUUAUUACAAGAAAAACUAAAAAAAAUAAAAUUGAGAAACUAAAAAAAUAAAUUAAGAUGUUUGUCUCUAGUGUAGCUUUUAAAAUAUAUUGUAAUGCUGUAUAACAUAGAAUUUAUAAAAAAAAAUUAGUAAAUUUAUUUUCUAUUUAACGAGUUUUUCUGUUGAUUUUAUAAUUUUAAUAAAUGUUAAUCAAUAAUUUAUUAAAAAUUAUCUUAUUACAAAUAACUCUUAAUGAUAAGGAUGAGAUAAAGGCCCAACACCUAUCAAAAAUUGCCGCAGGGUAGUUGAAACGUGCUUCUUAUGCCGUUGUGACUUUGUGGUCCAAAAUUAACCGUACAAUCUGCAAUUAUUGCAAUGCUCCGUCUUUUUUUAGCGUCUGUAUGUCACCACUUGGCACGGGCACUUACCGAUAAAAUAUAAAAUGUAUAAACAAAAGUAAUUACAAUUUGAAUAUAAUUUAAAACAAAAAAAAUAAAAAGUAUAUUUUAGCAUUUAUAUAUAUAAUUAUUAUGUUGAAAUAUCUUUUAUCUUUAAUCUUUAUUCUUUAUACCGAAUCUAAAAAAAUUCAUAAGUCUAUAAUUUAAGACAAUUUAUGAAAUUGAGAUUUGAUUAUUAAAGAUAGAAUAAAAUAACUCAAUCAUUAAUUGAUUUUUUAUUUAAGUAUUCUUCAACAAUUAUUGUAAGAUCUUUACGGCUAUUCAUUACCAAUACGAAUAAUGAUAUUAUGAUUUUUGUCGACUGGAAUUUUUUUGUUCUUCAAUAAGACCUUUGUGACUAUUUAGAUGGGGAGAAAAAAAAUUGUAUGACGAUUCGGUAUAUUGAAAACCAUAACCUCAUAAUGUGACAAUAUUGACAUCUGAUCAUUUAAGUUCAUAUCAUUUUAUUUAGUUGUCUAACAGACUCACCUAACUUAACAACCUAAAAUAUACUCAAUAAUGAUAAAUAGUUAAUAUAAUGAUCUUACAAUAUUAUGUAAUUUUGUCAUUUCGCAACUCUGUUCAUGUUAGAUAUGUAUAACAUUAUAUGUUGUAGAACAAUUUAACACUUAUUGAAGAAAAUAAAACAAAACGUGAAUGGUUUUAGAUGUUGCACACUUUAUUUAUCAUAUCUAGUGUGGUAUUCACCAUUGUAGUUAGAUUUGAUAAUCUUAAUUUUCUUUUGUAAUUGAAGUUCAAGUUUAACUUUUAAAGAUUUGAAAAUGUAUAGAGACUGAGGCAUCUCAUCAAUUAAAGAAAGAGUAGUCAUCUAUGAACAUAAUAAAAUACAUUUGUCUAUUCCAUGAAUCCAUAAGAAAGAUACCACGAAUAUUUGUAAGUAUUAGUUCUAAGACAUUCUUAAAUCUUUCAACACUUAAAUUCCUUUUAUUUGUUUGUUCUUCCUUUGUGCACUCAAUACAGACUUAAACGUUUGACAAAUAAAAAGGCCCAAAAAUUUCCUCCGACACAAGCUUUUUGAAUUCUCUAUAUAGAGAUGUGGCCUAAGCGCCCAUGCUAUAAAGUGACAAAAUUCUCAUUUAAUUUAUGUUUCAUACCAUGUGAAUCCUUUGUAACAUUUCUUUAUAGGAGCACUUAAUAUCAAUUAAAGACACAUAACCAACAUCACUUGAAUUACAUGAGAGACUAACUUUUUAUUUCCAAAUGAACAAGAGUAACUGGAUUUGUCCAAAAUAGAAAUAGAAAUUGAAUUUCACCUAAUAGAUGAUGUAACACACACACACACACUAAAAUAAGGGUCUAAAGAAAUUUUUCAAGCAAACACUUGGUUUGAAAAGGAUGACAAAAAAUACUAAGAGAAUGCUUAAUAAAACCGUUAAGAGAUGUAGAAACACUUAAUUUUUACUCAUUCACUCAAAUAGAGUUAUAUCUAGUUCUUCUUUACACAAUCGUAAAGGGUUUCACUAAUCAAAACUUGAUUACAAAGCAAAUAUUAUGUCUUGCUGGCUAUACAAGUAUUAUUCUAGUCACUUCUACACUAUCUUAGACUCCCCCUAAACUUAAGAAAAACCUAAGAAUGGUUUAACAUUAAGUCAGUCUAGGCUUUCACAAGUAGUAGUUUGAAUAAAUACAAGUAUUCAAUAGCACUCAAUGAGUUGGAUAAGUAAUAAAGCAAAAAUAAAAGAUAACUUUGUUUAGCAAAGGAUAAACAAUAAGAGCUAAUAAAUUGUCUAGUGAUUUCUGUAGAGUUUUGCUUCAGAGUUAUUCACGUUUUCUCGUAAUUUUUUGAAGUCGUGCUUUUGGGUAGAGUCUUCCUUUUAAUAGAUUUCAAUGAAGGAUUCAUUAUGGUAUUAAUGUUAAGUCUUUGAAAUGAUUGUUGUCUCACAUUGGAGAUAAGAUUAUGUGACAUGCUUUGAUUUGAAAGGCAAAGAAUAAAAAUACAUAAUACUGCAUGUGCUCCUAGAGGAAUAUUUUGUGUAGACUUUCUAUUAUCUUUUAUUUUUUCAUUUUUUAAAAUUCAAAUGUUAACAAUUCAAAUAAAGAGAGAAACUAAAAUUUCAUAAAAGAGAAUACGUGUAUUAAUUUUAUUUUUGGUUGACAUGACUUUUUCAUACUAAGUUGGACACCAAUUGUGUGUGAGACUUAUACCAUCUUGUGAGUGUUGAACAUUCUUAGUGUAUAACACUGAUAAUAUAAAGGGGUAGACACUUUUGGUCUUAUAGCGUGUGUGAUGCUGAUUAAUAAUUAACAAAAUAUUUUCUUUUUUGAGUGUGGAUGAUAUAUGUGAAUAACACUUAAGUCCUUUAAUAACUUUGCUCACGUCCACUUGUCAUAAACUUAUUAAUAUAUCAAAAAUUUGUAUUUUUUGUUAAACAUCAAAAUAGGUAUAAAUGGUCGUCCAAACCUAACAAUGAGCAUUUAAUGUUAAUAUGAAUUGAAGAUCAUAUUAACAUGUAUUACAUCGGACCUGAGUUCUUUGUUGUUCCUAUCUCAGUUGUCCCCAUGCUGUUUCUUGAAAAUCACACAAUUUUAAAUUAAAUCAUAAAAUUAAAUAUUAACACAAACUAAAUAGAUAACAUCGAAUCAGCUAAAAAAAAGACAACAAAAAAACCAAUUUAGUAUUACAUCUUUCAAACAAGACAUAUGUUGCCUAAACAAUUUUUUGGUACAUUUCUUAAUUGAAAAUUUUACACUAUUCUGAAUAAUUUAUUAGAUACAUAAUAUCUAUGUGCAAAUAUAAAAUCCAUACAACUUUUCAGUGUUAUAGGUGAACUCAUGUAUCACGUGUUCUAAUAAGUCUCUAUAUAUUCAGAUUUAAGUGAUAAGAGUGGACCCCGAAAAGAAACUGUUUUUUUAUAUAUAUAAACAAUACUAUGCUAUAAUAAAUUUUAUAUAUAUAUAUAUAUAUAUAUAUAUAUAUAUAUAUAUAUAUAUAUAUAUAUAUAUAUAUAUUAAGAAGAAGAAAAAAAGCGCAAGAGCAUCGAUCAAAUGAACGAAUAAUGCUCAAUUUUCUUUUAUUAAAAGUAUAAUUUAAUUUAUACAUAUUGUAUGAUGUAAUAUUGGUAUAAAAUAUUUAACAUAUUUGAUGAUAAAUAUUUACUAAAAAUAAAAAUUUGUAUGAUUAUCUUUAUCAACACAAUUUUUUUUCCAUUCAUAAAAUUUGAAUGUGACUUUACUUAAGAGAUUCAAUAUAAUUAACUAUCAUCAAACAGCUUCCUGGUAUAUGAACAUGCAGGCUUUUUCUUUGUAAUCUGAGGGGUAUUUCUUAUGCCUCAUAUGAAUAUUAUUCUCUCUUUGCCGUUUCAGAAAAAAAAAAAAAAACUUAAGAAUAUACAUGCAUAUAUAUAUAUAUAUAUAUAUAUAUAUACAUUUAUCUUAAAUAUAUAUUUUAAAGUAAUUAUUAUAAAAAUAAAUUAUUUUAUAAUAAAGAACCAUCUAUGAUCAAAUAAAUGAUAUAUAUAACUUGAAUUUGCCUGCUGUUAGAUAAUUUAACAACUAAUUAACUGUAAGUAAUCUCAGUUCCUUACCGCUAGAAAAGUUAACAUUUAAUGUUCUGACACAUUCAGAAUUUGUUAUGUACGUCCUUUACAUUACACCCAAUACUUUAUCUUUCAAAAUGAGUUUCUCACGUUAAAAAAAAAAAAAAAAAAGUUGCAUCCAACAGACUUUAAUUUGUACAAAAUGCGUUUUGAUUAUUAAAUUCUAAAAAAUUAACCUACCUGAUUGUUUUUUUUAAAAAAAAAAUAUGUUCAACCAAAUUCUAUUGAAGAUUAAAAAAAAAGUAGACAAAAAACAUAAAAGAAAAUAACAUUCUGGACUAGUAAAAUGAAUUAUUGGACCGUAAAAAUUAGCUUAUUACAGUUCAGAAAUAUUUUAUCCUCUAUGCAGUAGGCAGAGGUAUUGUCUAUUUAAAGAAGCAAAUCCUCGAUGAGGAAAGUGCACAAGUGAGUUUGUUGAUCGAGAUAACUAGAAACAGUGUGAUGAAAAUGAAGGUCCUUGUUUUCUUCGUUGCUACAAUUUUGGUAGCAUGGCAAUGCCAUGCGUACGAUAUGUUCCCUCUCCGAAUGAACACUGGCUAUGGUGCCCGUACUCCGGAGGUGAAAUGCGCAAGUUGGAGGCUUGCUGUGGAAGCACACAACAUCUUUGGCUUUGAGACCAUUCCUGAAGAGUGCGUUGAAGCAACAAAGGAAUACAUCCAUGGCGAACAAUAUAGAUCAGACUCCAAAACAGUUAACCAACAAGCUUACUUUUAUGCCAGAGACCUCGAAGUCCAUCCCAAGGACACAUUUGUGUUCAGUAUAGAUGGCACCGUACUCUCUAAUAUUCCAUACUACAAAAAACAUGGAUAUGGGUAUUAUGCUCUUAGUUAAUUUUCUUCUAAUACUCUCUUUUUCCGUUUUUGCUAUUACUAGGUUACUCCCUUAUAUGCGCAUCAUUUAUUUUCAACUAUUUUUGGUAUUGAUCGAGUUUCGGUGUUUGGCCCGACUAACAACAUUAAGGUUUCUCAUCACAUGCAUGUAGAUUUGAAACCUUCAUUAUAUAUGACAUUUUAUGAUUAGAUAUAAUAUAAAGAAAAAGUUUCAUUGUGAGUGCAUAAAUAUAUAUAUAUACAGACACAGGCACAUACAUGCUUUCAGGAUCGUGUUCAUUGUUCUUAAUGCAAUAUUUUAUGUGAUAGGGUGGAGAAAUUUAACUCGACCUUGUAUGAUGAAUGGGUUAACAAGGGCAAUGCACCGGCACUGCCCGAGACUCUUAAGAAUUACAACAAGCUGGUGUCUCUUGGCUUCAAGAUUAUAUUCUUGUCAGGAAGAACACUGGACAAACAGGCCGUAACAGAAGCAAACUUAAAGAAGGCUGGCUACCACACAUGGGAAAAAUUAAUUCUCAAGUCAGUUUUCUUUUUUCUCUAUACUAUAUUCUCAAGUCAAUUAAUUCUCAACGUUGCACCAAAUCUGCCAGGAAGGAACAGUUUAUAGAUAAUCAGAAAUUAUAUAAUUAUUUUAAGUACAUGGUGCGAUAUGAGUUUGAAAUACUAGUAGCUAAUUGGAUCUAUUUUUGGUUGGUGCAGGGAUCCACAAGAUCCUUCCACUCCAAAUGCAGUUUCAUACAAAACAGCAGCGAGAGAGAAACUGAUAAGGCAGGGAUACAACAUUGUUGGGAUCAUUGGAGACCAAUGGAGCGAUCUCCUCGGAGGCCACAGAGGCGAAAGCAGGACCUUUAAGCUUCCUAAUCCCCUGUACUACAUUCAGUAGUUCCUUCACCUCUCAACAAUCUAGCUUGCUCCUAUCUAUCUAUAUGUAAUAAGAUGCGUUCAAAUAGGGGCACUAGCUUCACUUUAUGUUGUUUCAGCUGUGUGUCAACAAGUCAUGUAAGAGACUUCACUAUGUUGUUUUCUCUUUCGUGGCUUUAAUAAAUUAUGCGCCCUUGUUCCAUACUUUGAUCUUUUCUUUUCUUUUCUUUUUCUUUUUAAGUCAAAGUAAUUCAUUAUUAUCAAACUAAUGAAAAAUACUAACCAAUAUCCUAAGAGAAUUGGUUAAAGAAUUUAAAAUAAUAAUAUUUUUAUUAAGAGACACAAAAUUAUGUUAUUUAUAAAUUUUUUUUAUUUUCAUAUAACUUACACAAUUAAUAUUUUUGUCUUUUAGUUUUAUAACAAAUGUCUUAAAAACACUAAUUAAAAAGAUUCUUUAAAAAAUAGUCUUAAGAAAAUCUGAGGAACUUAGCUAGGUUUUACAAACUAAUAUAAAAUGUGAAUUAAAUAUAUUUUUUCCAUUUAAUAAUUUAGUAUUUUUUUUCAUCCAUUACAUUAUUUUGAAUAAUAAAAAAUAUUAUAAAGUGUUUUAAGGAUGAAAAAUAAAAGAAUAUAUUUUAAAUAAAAUAAAAAAGAAAUUUGCAGGAAAAAAAUAUCUAAAAGAUAAAGAUUUUAUAAAAUCGAGAUCGGGAAAGAAGUGCACAAAAUCGACGUCGUGAAAGAAGUGCACAAAAUCGACGUCGUCUAUUACACCAUAUAAUUACACUGUGAACCGACAGUUGGUAUUAACACAAUGGCCCAAUAGAGUAGACCGAGAAAUAAUUAUCUGACAAAUAUACUGUUCACUAAAAACAAAAAAAUGAUGAGAAAGCCUGAAAAUUACACUAUAUAUAUAUAUAUAUAUAUAUAUAUAUAUAUAUAUAUAUAUAUAUAUAUAUAUAUAUGAAAUAUAAUAACUUUAUACUAUCAUUUAAUUAAAAAUAAUUAUUUAAAUUAUUUUAAAAUAAUUAUUUUAAAAAUCAAUAAAUUUAUCAUACAUAAUAAAUAUUUAAUAUAAAUAUUGAUUAAAUGAUUAUAUAAAAAAUUUAUACUAUCUUUGUAUAAUCCUUUUUUCAUAUAAAAAUAUUAGUGAAUGGUGUUUUGAGUUUCAAAAUUUUAUAAAAUUUCGUUUUAAUUUCUAAUUUAUAAAUAUUACUCUUUUAAUAUACCCUUUAAUUUCUAAUUUUAAAAAUAUUACUCCUAAUACAGAGAAAUUUUAGUUUUAAAAUUCCAAAAUCGAGUAGUUUUGAUUUCUAUAUUUUUUGAAAUAUACAUAUUUGGUCCCUGUAUAAGAUAGAAAAACAUUAGUUUUAUAUAUUACGUUUGGAUAUUUUUUAUAAAAAAAAUCAACCAUGAAAAAUAUUCAUUUUAAAAGUCAGAACUCAGAAUCAAAAUUCAAAGUUUAGAAACUUUUUAAGUAAAAACAUUGUUAACCCAUUAAAAUGUUGUCAUCACAUACAUGUAACUAAUGCUAAAUUUAAUUACGUUUAUCUUUUAUUAUAUAUAAACAUCUUAAAAAUCUAUUAAAAAAUACUAGGUACAAUCACACUCAUUUAACUAUAUAUUUUUUAUUGAUGAUGCUAUUUUUUUGGUAUUUUGGGGUUGCUGAAGAACUUGACGGUUUUUGUCUACAACCCUCCUCUAACCUAAAAAAAUAAAUUGGUUGGCGAGAGUAUUGCAGCAAACAUUUGCUGGAGUAUGUUUGACGCUUAAGAAGCUUUUGAAUUAAAAUAUAAAUCUCACAAAAAUAUAUAAAUUUAUCCUUUAAUAUUAUAUCUCUUCUCUUUAUCCAAGACACCAAAAGUCUCUUGCAACUUUAGCACUGUUAGCGACUUUCUGACAAUUAGUCACGCGCACUCCCUCAUUGUGUCUGUACUCUGGAGUCAAACUCAUCCAUUUUGGAAGCGAAAUAAUGCUUUUGGGUGAAAAAAUUAUCUCUCAUGCUUUAGUCCGUGUACUGUUUGGACUUUGGAGUGUAUGAUUUUAUAUUAACUUUAUAUUACUUUUUCUGCUUUUGGGUGUGGAAAAAAUUAUCUCUAAUGCUUUGUUUGUUUCAAUGCACGGAAUGAUUUAGAGAGAUGGAAAAUAACUUCAUAUUUUGUCCCUGUACCGUUUGGACUUUGGAGUAUAUUGAGAAAGAAAGGAAUAAAAGUAUCAGUUUGUGGUUCCAUAUUAACUUUAUAUAUCGUCUAAUUUAGAACGAAAAGGAGUAUUUUCUAUACAAAGAUAAAAAUAUUAUUAUUUACAAUAUAUCUCAUGUUUUACUAUUAUUAUUAAAAUAUAGACAUUAUCUUUUUCUGCUUUCAUUUUUUUGUCAUAAAAUAACAUAAAAAAAUCAUUUUGUUUUGAUAUUAAACCCAACCAUGCAUUCUCCACAACAACCCAACUAUACUUUACUUUUAAAAUAUAAACUAUAGAGAUAUGCCGUCGAUUUUUUAAAGGCUUGUAUUUUUAGUCCCAGGUAAAUUAAUGUUUUUUUAUGUAAUUUUAUUUUUUUAAUUUUAGUUUUUGUAAUUUGUGACUUUUUAUUUUUGAUUUUUUAAGAUAUUUUAUUUAUUUUUAAUUUUUGCAUGUUUAUAUUUUUUUUAAUUUUGAUCCCAUAAUAUUAUAACUUUUUUAUUUAUAGUCACCCUAAAUUCAUGUUUAUAGAGACUAAAAUUAGAAAAACAUAAAUUUAUAUUAACUAAAAAUGAACAAAAUACUUUAUAAAUAUUAAAAUUGAAAAAUAUAAACUUAUAAGGAUUAAAAUUAAAAAAUUUAGAGAAUACAAAAAUAAAAAUACACUAAUUUACAGAGAAAAAAUCAUAUUUAAAUCGUUUUUAAAUAUAAAAUCUCUAUCUAUUUUAUUGGAGAUCAUGGGCAUUUAUUUAGUCUCUAUCUAUUUUAUUAGUUAGGUGACUAGAGUGGACCCAAAAGAUAUCUAUGGAUUUGAAACAUAUACUGAACUAUUAAGUAAAAAGUAAAUCAUGAAAUAUUAUACACAUUAAAAAAUUAAAAAUUAAAAAAAUAGAGGACCAGAACCCCAACCAUCUAAGUAAAUUUGUCCACAAUAAUAAAUAUAUCAUUAUUUAAAGUCUUAAAGAAAGAAGACCCAAAUAAAUAUAAUGUAGAAGUAGAACACAUAAAUAACCCCAAAAAUCUGCUAGUUUUACUGUGGGUUGCGUUUCCUAUGGUACCGUGGGGGUAACACAAAAAGCGACUGUCUGCAACAAUAAUGAAUCUGCACAUGGAUAAGUGUCAGGUACAGCAGAAGACAUACACAACACAUAAAUAAUUUACUGAAUAUAAAUAAUUAAUAUGUUAAAGUUAAAUUAAAUUGUUUAAAUAUUAUUUGAAUUUUAUUUUUAAUAAAAGUAAUUUUUUAUUUAUUUAUUGUCUAAACUUUGAAUUAGUCUCUUUCCCUAUUGAACCCAAAAGUAAAAAAAAUAAAAAUGCACAGCAAGAACCAAAACAUGCGGAUAUUCACCAAUAAUGUGGCAAUUGAAUUGAAUCUCAGGGCCAGUAUGUUUCUUACAAACUACACAAAACGUUAAAAAGAUGGAGCCAUGCAUUUGACCCAUACGUACCCACCCCAAUCUAACAAUCCAAACCUAAUAACGAUGGUCAGCACCGCACCAGCUUCAUAGUAAAAUGAGUUACAAUUUUAUACUAUAUUUAAUAAAAAGUAAAUCAAAAUUUGAAAAUCAAAACUUUAAUAAUAUUAAGGUAUGUUUGGAUCAAUUUCUCCAUAAACGCUUCUGGAAGAUAAAUAAAAAAACAACUUUUUAUAAUUUAAAAUUAAUUUCUGUAUGGACCAAUUCUAGAAGUUGUAUCACAUAAGUUUUUUAAUAGAAGAUCUUUAAUUUAUGCAUAAACUAAUUGAUGAAGAAUUUUUUUUAUUUUUUUCUAAUUCUAGAAGUGUUUUCGAAUAUAUUUAUCUAAACAUACUUAUAUUAAUUAAAAAAUAGAAGUGGUCAUGAAAGUUACGGGUUAGAUAUAAUAUUAAUAAAAAAAAUAUAAUUUAUACAUCACAUGUGCUGAUUUUAAAAAGUUUUUUUCAAAUAAUUAAAAUCGUAGAUAACUAUUACGAUAUUUCAUUCUUUAAAAUAAAAUAUAAAAGUAAAGUUAUUUUAUUUUGUUUAAUUUUUUUACACUAUUUUUAUACUUAAAAUAACAAGUUGUACGUUAUUAUUCACACCUAUGACUCUACAUUUAAAAGUCCUGAAUGUGAGUUCUUAUGUUAAGAAUUUAUUCAACUUUUACACUAUCUCAAUAAUUUUGAAAUUAAUUAAUUACCACUUUGUGGUAAACAAAGCCGAGUUUCAUGAUUAGAAAGUAAAAGGUAAAAGUAAAACAAUUUCACGUUCAAAACAAAAAAAAAUGUAAAAAACAAAUUGUACAAAAAUUUCGUGUUUCGCGACUACCAAGGAAGAGUUAUCGCUGCUGCCUCUUGCUUUCAGCCACACAAAUUGCAGAGGGCAUGGCACACAAAUUGUCAAGUCCUUGUCUCGGCCUGGAACACGAGGGAAACGCAACAACACGGUACAUAUAUACUUGGAUUCAGGAGUGGGUUUUUUUCCCUCUUCAUUUUUUUUCAUUAUAUUAUAUAAAAUUUAUUUUAAUUGGUUUUAAAAUUACUUAUUUAUUAAAUUAAUUUUUUUAAUUUUGUUUUUAAUUAAUUUUUUUAAUAAGAAAAUUGUAUUAUUAAAAAUAAUUAUUUUUAUUUUAUUAUUUAAUUUACUUAACAUAUUUUUUUAGGUGAAUAUUUUUUUAACAAUCUGAAUUUUGUAAUAUAAUUAUAUUACUAAAUAUGAUUAGUUUGUUUAUGUCAUUAAAUUUAAUUAAAAAUGAUAAAACUUUUUGUUUAACAAUUUAUUUAUAAAAGAACUUUAUAUUGCAUUAUCAAUAAAAUACUUAAACAAUUAAGAAUGAUAAGACUUUCUGUUAUAAUCAUGUUGUCGGUAAAUUAAAUAUUUUUUUCUACUUUUCCUUAUUCGUCCAUCUCAUGGGAAUGCGAGUUGAAACGGGAUGACCCGUUGUAGUUUUCUUCAUCCUUGGAUUAGAACCUCACUGAACUCCUUCGUAUUCUUGCCACGUUGAUUCGUGUGGGAGUAAAUCAAAAGAGUUGUCAUAGACGUGCCAAAUGUGUUGUAGAGUGAAGACAUGUAUCCCCACAUUGAUCAUGCACAAUAGAAAUUGGUUAUCUUCAAUAAACUAGUCAUCGAAAUAGAAGAAGACCUGUNNNNNNNNNNNNNNNNNNNNNNNNNNNNNNNNNNNNNNNNNNNNNNNNNNNNNNNNNNNNNNNNNNNNNNNNNNNNNNNNNNNNNNNNNNNNNNNNNNNNNNNNNNNNNNNNNNNNNNNNNNNNNNNNNNNNNNNNNNNNNNNNNNNNNNNNNNNNNNNNNNNNNNNNNNNNNNNNNNNNNNNNNNNNNNNNNNNNNNNNNNNNNNNNNNNNNNNNNNNNNNNNNNNNNNNNNNNNNNNNNNNNNNNNNNNNNNNNNNNNNNNNNNNNNNNNNNNNNNNNNNNNNNNNNNNNNNNNNNNNNNNNNNNNNNNNNNNNNNNNNNNNNNNNNNNNNNNNNNNNNNNNNNNNNNNNNNNNNNNNNNNNNUAAAAAAUAUAUGAUAUAAUAUUAUAUUUAUAAUAUUUAAACUAUAAAAAAAUACCAAAGUAUGGAAGUCGGGAUGAUCAAACCCAAUUUCCAACAAGCAUUCCAAAAAUAGUGCCCUACAUGAAUAAAAGAAGAAAGUGAUGUAGAUUGGGAAAAAAAGUGGAAAGAGAAAGUGCAUUGACGAAAAAAAACCAAAUGUAAAGAAUUACUACCUAACAACAUUGUCAACCAACAUGGUUUGGUUAUGAUUAGCAUAUAUAUUCCUGUCUUUAAAAUAUGUUGUUGAUACUCAUGUUCGUGUAAAUGAAAAGUAUUUGUAGAAAAAAUAAAACUCUUAAAUGGGUCUUAUCCGGUCAAAGGACACCCUCAUGAGCUCACCAAUUAAUGUAAUCAAGCAAAUAAAUUACCAUUAACGUAAGCUUACAAGUCGUAAGCUCAGUGUUAUUAUCUACAAAUUUAAAAAGUCAAUUAUAUCACGUGGACCAUAAAAAAAAAGGUUGCCGAGCUUAAUUUCCUGUAUCUAGCUAGCUAGCUAGCUAGAGGAAUGGUCUAUUUAAAGAAGAAAAUUAAGCCUACACCAGGAAGCUGGAAAAGUUAGAAGUAGUGAAGAAAAUGAAAGUCAUUGUUUUCUUCGUUGCUAUAAUAAUUUUAGGUGCAGAAUGGCAAUGCAAUGGGUCAGAGCAUGAGCAUGAGCAUGGCCACAGCUACCAAAUUUUCCCUUUGCGAAUGAAAACCGGCCCCGGUGGCCACUACAUUCCGGAGGUAUCGUGCAAAAGUUGGAGGCUUGGUGUGGAAGCACACAACGUCAUUGACUGGAGAACCAUUCCUCAAGAUUGCGAGGGAUAUAUAGGAAACUACAUGCUUGGCCACCAAUAUAGAUCAGACUCCAAAACAGUUUGCCGUGAAGCUUAUUUUUAUGCUAAAACCAUCAACAUCACUGCCAAAACCACAUGGGUGUUUGAUGUAGAUGAGACUACACUCUCUAAUCUCCCUUACUUUGCUGAUCAUGGAUUUGGGUAUCAUCUUUUUUUCUAUCAAUUUAAUUACUUUUCGUUAAUGUUUGAAAAAAUAAUUAAUAUAUCUAAAAAAAUAGAAAAUAAUUUUAUGAAAAAAGACAAAUAAAUUUCUAAAAAUAAUCUUAGGACAAGAAGGAAUAUUUUUCUUUCCAUCUUUUUCUCAACUACUUUUGUAUAUAUUGAGUUUCAGUGUGACCCAAGAACUAAUUAAGUCAAUAAAAAUAAUCAUAUCAUGUAUUUUGUAAAUUAAAAAUAAAUAACAACAGAAUAAAUAAUAAGAACUCAAAAGUGAAGUUGAAUUUUCAUAUACUAUACAUUGGAUAAAACAAGGUGUUGGCUAAAACUAAAAGAAAUAAUAAUAAACCUUAUUUUCUUAAGUGCAGGCUCCAUCGAUUCUGAGAUUAGAUAGUCAGGUUUAAACCUGACUAUUUCUACAUAUACCAUUUUUAUUUUUUUUGGUGCUUUGUGUUAAACAAUCUACAUAUCUGACUAUUACAUUGAUUUUGGGAUCGAAUUAAUUAUACGGUUAAAUUUUAUUUUAUUUUGCAUCUGGCUCAACAUUCUUCUUUGCAUACACAUAUCUCAUUAUAUAUUUAUAGUGAAUUUUUUUAUCGAACAAUAAUUAAUCAAUUUCCUGGUCAUAGGGUGGAGCUAUAUAAUGCAACAGCGUUUAAUGAAUGGGUUGACCUUGGCGAGGCACCGGCACUGCCAGAGAGUCUCAAACUGUACAAUAAACUGUUGUCUCUUGGCAUCAAAAUUGUAUUCAUAACAGGAAGACCACUGUAUCAACAGGCUGUAACUGCUACCAACUUAAAGCUUGCUGGAUACUACAAAUGGGAAAAGUUAAUUACCAAGUAAGUCUCUUUUUUUCUAUAUUUUUUGUAUAGAAAUCCAGUUAAUAUAUAAUAUAUUUUCAAAAUACAAGUAAAUAUUGAACUAAUUAAUAUUACAUAAUUUUCAUGUUGUUUGAGUGCUCUUUAUAGAAGUUCCACUUUAAUUAAAAAUUAAUUCAAUCGUUGUCAAAUAUUCAACACCAAUAUAUAAUAUUUCUUACAAUUAGUACUUUUUUUUUUACUUAUUUAACCUAUCUAUUUUUUUACAUCAGCAAUUCAGCUAGUUUCUUGUUUUCUUCACGUCAUAGUCUUGUUAAUUUAGAACAUAUAUGUUUCAAUUGUUUUUUUUAUUACGAUAGUAUCAUCAAAUUCAUGACAUUGAAUAAAUUAUCAAUAAAAUUAACUUUGGUUGAUGUGAUAUGAAUUAUUAAUUUAAAAAUAUAAAAAGCUAAUAAUUAUAUAUUUUAAAUGCAUAAUAAAAUAGUCGAGUUAUUGGUUAUCUGUACACAAGUAUAUUUUAAACAAAAAAUAACUGAUUUUCUCUUAAAUUCUGAUAAAAUAAAAUAAUUAAUUUUGUAUUUCUUUGUUUUUAAUUUCUUCCUUAAUUAAAUAAGUGUAGUGGCUUUUAAAAAUAAAUUAUUUACUAAUAUCUAUAUAUUUUCUUAAAUAUAUAUUUUUAAUUUGAGUCUUAUGAAAAAUAAAUUAAUAUUCACAUGUUUAUUUAUUUUCAAUUCUGUUAUAUUAUUGUUUGACAUUGUUAUAAUAUUAUUUGUUAGAUUUUUAACUUAAUAAAAUAUAAUAAAUAAAUCGAUUUCAAAUAUAAAAUAUGAUAUCUUUAAUUUCUAUAUUUGAAAAUUAUUUUUCAUUUAAGUAUAGAGACUAAAAUAUCAAUAAAUAAUUAAGUUUGUGAACUAGAAUUAUGGUACAAUAAUAAAUUUUGAGACCAAACUAAAAAAUUAUUUUUUUACACAUAGGAAUCAUAUGGAUGACACAUAAUAAUCAUUAGUUGGUACAUCAUCCCUAAAAGUAUCUAUUUAUAAUUGUUCGAGUUAACAAAAAAAUUAAUUAUCACACUUCUUACCAAUUUAAAAAUAAAAUUUUAAUUUUUUAUGUUUCAAAAAUCUAACUUAUCAACGUCUAAUACAUUAAAGGAUAACUUUAGGUAUUUGGUUUUAAAUUUUUAGUGUGAUGUUGUUGACAUUGAAGUGGAUUAUACUAUCUUCGUUCCUUUUUAUAUGUCUUUUAAGAUUGUUAUAUAAAAAAAAUGAUAAUUUUUUGUUUUAAUAAACAAAUUGUGAAUUUUCCUAUUUUAUUUUAUUUUCUUUUAACUUCACAAUAAAUAAAUAUGUAAAUUAAUUAAAGAUUAACAAAAAAUUAAGAUUAUAAUUAAUAAAAGAGUAAUUAAUGUGUUCUUAAAUUUGAAUUAUACAAAUAACAAAUAAAUAGAAACAAAAAUGCUCUCAAAAUAUUUUUUCUUCUUCGUACUCCAUUGUCCAGAGACUCGCUCUCAAAAUACUAUAAUUAAAAAAAGGACAGAAGAAGUAAUUUGCAUGUUCAUUCAACAAAUAAAUUUUAAGAGUUUAAUGACUAACUGUAUAAAGCAAUUGUACACAAUCAGUCAAACAUUGUCAUUAGUAUACUUUUAAGAUAACCGUUGUAAGCAAAUUAAUGACCAAGUAUACAUAAUUGUUGUAAUGGAAUGAUACAAUUUUAUUUUAUUUUUAUAAAUUCUAAGCAAUUAGUUCUUUACAAUUCACUAGAAUUGGUUUAGUGGUAAGAAAUUUCGAUAUAUUUUGUAUAAACUCCUUGUUUUAUAGCUAUUAUUAUACACUAAACGGAAUAUAAUUGGUUUUGGUUGCAGGGAUACAGAUAAAUACAAUGGUAAGACAGCAGUUACAUACAAAUCAACUGAGAGGCAGAAGCUGGAGGAAAAUGGAUACAACAUCAUUGGAAACAUUGGAGACCAAUGGAGCGAUAUAUUAGGAACCAACACAGGCCUUAGGACCUUUAAGUUGCCUGAUCCCAUGUACUACAUUAGUUGAGGUCUCUAGGCUCUUAUGAAUGAAAUGAGAUAUGUAGUAAUUAAUAAUGGAGAGACUUAACCUAGGGGCACUCGUUAUUGCUAUGUUUCAUAUGUAUGUGACUUUGUGUGAGACAGUAGUUACGUGAGACUGCACAAGCACAACUUAACGUUGUUUUAUCUUUCGUGGUUUUAGUAUGAUUUUUAUUUUCAGAAUUGAUUUUGAGUCUAUAAUCAAUUUUAGUUCUAGAAUUAAUUUUAAGUAAUUUUUGUGUUAAAUCAAGAAAUUUAUAUUAAAUUAUACUCGAUUUUAUAAUUAAAAUAUUCAAAUAUAAAUUACAUUACUUAAUUAAUAUUAAUCAAAAUUAAUUUUUUAAUGCUCAUCAAAAUAUACACUUAAUAAAUUACGUCUUUCUUCCUUUUUUUAAAUCAGCCAAAAUAUAUUAUAAAACAAAUGAAUAGUGAUACAUAAAUCACUGAUAAUUUUAUACACAGUAUAUUUUACCACACCCUAUUCUUUUAGUUUUAUUUUCUUAUAGAAAAUUUAAAAAUAAUGAAUAGAAUUCUGUAAAUUAUUAACACACCAAUUGCUGAUGUCUUGAAUUUGCUGAAGACACAUGCUAGCUAGCUAGUAGCUCCAUCCAUGGAUACGGUGGAACCACCUAUAUAUAAUUGCAUGUAUAACAUUAUAAAACUGGCAACGAGUGUGGUAUGGCAGAGGGCAUGUUUCUCCUUUAUGAUGUGUUUUGGAACAAUAGACAGAAAUGAGGAGAGGAAAAAAAAGUUUCACAUUUGAAUUAAACAAGGUGGAAGAAAUAAAUUGAGUUUUGUUUAUAGAAGUAAAAUUUUCUUUAACAAAACAAAAGAAAGUACAUCAUUUUAUUUCCAUUUAACUAACUAUACCAAAAACAAUUUUUAAUGUCUUGUUUAGGUAAACUUAAAAAAAAACACUUGUAAAAAAUUAAAAAUAAGAAAAUAAAAUUAAUUUUAAAAAAUCAUUAGUUAAAAUCAGUUUAAGCACUUCAACUUUAUAGAAUUUCUCUUGUUUAUUUUUGACCAAAAACUUGAUUUAAUUUAUAUAUAAAUUAAUUUAACUUAGGCUAAAAUACUUUUUUGUCCUCCAUUUUUUAUAGUAAGUCAUGUUUUAAUUAGUUAUUUAUCUAUUAAAUUUUUAUUGUGGUCCUUAUGUUUUAAAUGUGAGCCAAUACGAUCUUUUCAAUUGUUUGGCAUUAACAAUGUUAGUGUUUUAAAAUAGCUAAUUCUAAUAUAGUGGUAUUUUAAUCAUCACUAUGUUAAAAUUAAUUAUUUCAGUUACUUAUCAUGAUAAAAUAAUUAAUCUAAACGAAGUGGUGAUUUUUAAUUGUCAUAAUUUUUUUUAUUAAACUUUGAAAAUAAUGAACCCGAAAACUUGAAAGCAAACGAAGAAUGAAAUGUAUCAGCCGCAUGCAUUAAGAAAAAUAUCCAAAACAAAUAAAUGUUUUCUUACUACAAUCCAUCAUGCACGAUAGAACAAAAAAAUCGAAGUGAAACAAGGUUGUUUAAUAAACUCCAUGGGACACUAACAAGGGAAUUAAAGGGAGGAAAUGGGGUGUGAGUAAUAGUGGGGAGGGAAAAAAAAGAAGAAGCAAAAUUUAUACUUUAUUCUAAAAUUGGGUUGCACUUAGCAUAAUGGAGGUGUCGUUAACAAUACCCGAAGAGUGAAAAGUCUGAAGCACGUUGAUGAUCCAUUACCAAACAUGUACGAUGCAUAAAAAGUUAAACCUUGGAGGUAUUAAUUUAACAUGAAGGGGAUUAUUCUUUGUACCACCUUUUUUUGCUAUCUAUUUUAUUUUUCUCUUCAAUUCUUAAAAUAUAUAUAAAAAAUGUUACCUUUCAAAUUAAACUUGAAUUCCAAAAAAUAUUUUUUACAUGAUGUAAAAAUUUAUUUUCUAAAAUCAUACUUAACAUAGGUUCAAAAACUAAAUUCGAAAAACAAUACUAUGCACGGUUCUAGAAAUUAAAUUUCAAAAAAAUGUAAAAUAUAGCUUCCUAGUUUAAUUUCCGGAACUUUGUAAUGUAGUUAUGAGCAUUGUCCGCGGAAAAGAAUAAAAUGUGAUGAAAUUAAUUGCGCAUUGUUUUCAAGAGCGAGUGAUAGGCACCACAAACUAAAAUGACUGCUGAAUGGAAGAGAGCCGAUGGAGUAUUGAGUAGUCAAUUUUAGAUAAUCGAUUAUGGAAAUAAAAUGAUGUUAUUUUAUUGAACACAAAAUUAUAUCACUUGUUCAUUUACAAAGGAAAAAGGUGUACGUACAGCCUACUGUUAACAGAUAUUUUAUCCUCUAGCGAUCAAGCAAGACUUAUUAUUUUAUUUUCAAAUCAAAAAAAUUAUUUCUUCUAUUUCUUAGAAUAAUUAAAUUUAAUAAAUUUUUAUGAAACUUGUUUUAUUUAUUUUAUUUUAUAAACACUAUUUUAUAUGUAUUAUUAGUUAAUAAUUAUUAUUUUUUUAAUUAUAAAAAUUUAUAAAUUAAAAUAAAUUAUUUAAUAUGUGUUUAAUAUUUAAUUUUACACGUAUUUACUUUUCGUUCAAUCUCUGUUUGAGAUUCCACAAUGAAUGUAUGUACCUCAAUACUGAACCGUUCACAGAUAUUUUAUCCUCUAGCGAUGGAGCAAAACUUUUUAUUUUAUUGACUAAAUUAUAAUUUUAAAUUUAUGGUUUUGAUUUUUUUUAUAUUUAGUUCUCUUAUUUUUUAAAUUGAUUUUAGGAGCAGNNNNNNNNNNNNNNNNNNNNNNNNNNNNNNNNNNNNNNNNNNNNNNNNNNNNNNNNNNNNNNNNNNNNNNNNNNNNNNNNNNNNNNNNNNNNNNNNNNNNGUGAUUUAUUACCUAAUCUUUUGGCCAAGAGGCCAGCUUACAUAACUGUUACAAUAAUACUUAUUAUAAUUUAGCUUAUUUUAUUUUUAUAAUUACACAAAUUUUACCUUUCAAUUUCUACAUUUAAAAAUUAUUAUUUUUUAAUUUCUAUUCAAACAUGUUUGAAGAAUGAUAACGAUUAAAAAAAGAUUUGAAAGUAGUUGUAAAAGGACUAAUUAAAAAGAGAUAUGAUUUUUAAGUGUAAAGAGUAAAAAGUAAAAUUUAGUCAAUGAUAUAGGAAAGAGAUCAAUCAUUUUUCCUUUGUUUAAAGAAGAAAACCCCAUGCAUGCCCGGAAUUAAGCUGCAACAAUUAGUUGUAAUAGGCAGAGCCAGUGAGGAGAAUGAAGGUCCUUGUUUUCUUUGUUGCUAUAAUUCUAGUAGCAUGGCAAUGCCAUGGCUCAGACCAUGACCAUGGCGCAACCUACCAAAUAUACCCUCUGAGAAUGAACACGGGCCAGGGUGGCCACUAUAUUCCUGAGGUGUCAUGCCAAAGUUGGAGGCACAUAACAUCAUUGAGUGGUUUUCGAGGAACCAGGGGCCUCCAAGAAAAGCUUAAAAGAUAAUUCUCAUUUCAUUCAUGCCUUGCUUCGUUUUAUUUACAUAUAUUUAUACUAUGCUUUCUAACAGAAUUUGGAUAUUUGCAGCUCAAGGAAUCAGAAUCCGUUAAGCUUGUCCCCCACUACCAAGCAAGCUAAAUUCCUAUCUCGCCCCUUAUACAUAAUCUCUCAGGUAUGAUGGUUUAAUAAUUGGUCUUUUGGGCCUAUUUGCUAAUUGUACCCUCUGUUCUGCUGUCUCUGCAUUUUCCUGAUUUGCUGCCAUUGUAGUAGCUUGUUCCUCUGUUAUAGUGGGUUGCAGUGUUUGUUCCUCCGUAUCACUAGGUGACCAAUACAGAUAUGACUCCAAAACUGUUUGCCGUCAAGCUUAUUUUUAUGCUAAAACCCUCAAUAUCACUGCCAAAGACAUGGAUUUUUGACAUAGACGAAACUACACGGUCUAAUAUCCAAUAUUAUGCCGAUACUGGAUUUGGGUAUAUGCUCUUUAAUUUUUCGGUUUAAUUUUCUAUUUAGUUAAGAUUUACUCAUGUGUCAUUUAAUUACUUUCUACUCCUUAACAUGAUGCAUGGUUUAAUUUUAAUUUGUCAUACAUAUGAUAGGGUGGAACCAUAUAAUGCGACGAAGUUUGGUGAAUGGGUUUACCUUGGCAAGGCACCAGCACUACCGGAGAGUCUUAAAAUUUAGAACAAACCGGUGUUCCUUGGCAUCAAGAUUGUAUUCAUAACAGGAAGACCACUGGCUCAACAGGAUGUAACAGCUAAGAACCUAAAGACUGCUGGAUUUCACACAUGGGAAAAGGUGAAGGACAUUGUAGGCCUUGCUUGUGUCCCAGCAAAACGCACGGUGCCCAAAGUAACCCACCACUGAAGUGUACAAGGAAAGGCCCGUGUUCGCGUUCAACCUAAUGCAUAACGAAAGCCCAUAUAUAUAAAUAAUGGUAUGAUACGUAUGGGCUAUAUAACGUUGCUACCACUACCAGUGGACUAUAAUCCAUGGAUCUAGAUCUUUUAAACUAAUAAAAGAGUAUACUUUCAAAAAAAAUUAUUUAAUGUUUGAAUUUGUGAUAAAAAGGAAAAAUAUGUAUAAAUAUGAAAUAUAAGAGUAAAUGUACAUAUACUUACCUUUUAAUUAAUAUUUUAUUUAAACAAAUGUGCUGUAGUAUUAUGUAGUCUUUAAAAAAAUUAUACAAAAUUAUAUAUUCUACAUCUACUUAAUUCAAAAAGUUUAAUAGUUGAUUUCAUAAAAUUUAAAAUGAUAAGUUUAACAUAUGAUACCUUUUUCUUUUAAUCUUUUGAAACAAGAACAUCACUUCAUAAACUCACAUUAGUAAUUUUUUAAUAAUAAUUGUUAACUUUUAUCAACCUAAUUAUUACAUGACUUAAUAUUACAGAGAGAGAGAUGGAGAGAGAUUUAUAUACUACUACACUUAUUUAUAUAUAAAAUCUAAUAACAAGAAGUUUUUUGGAAAUGUAGACCACUUAUUGGAAUCGAAUUCACGUACCUAUAAAAAAAAUGAAGUUGAUUACACGGUGAAAUGGCGGGAAGAGAGAUGAUUUUCAAAACUUUUUGGCCAAUACAUGCUGCCUCGAGUUGAAUAAUUUUCUGACGGAACAAAUCUAUUUUGUUUCCCAGCUGCCAAACAUGGACUAAUUACUCCACUAAAUGGCAUAUAUGGAAUCUUUUUUUUCUUUGUUUUUAACAAAUUACUGCACUAACAUGCUGUUUGUUUCCAAAAGACAACGACACCAUCGAAUUGUUUUCGAAACUUACAAGCACAAAAUGCUAAAUAGAGUACGAGUACGUAGUGGUACAAAGAGAUAGCAACUUUGAGGUACAUCACAUAUUUACAUUUCUGAGCCACAGGGUUCACACUUCACACUCAACUUGAGUAAAACUCAUUUCUAAUUUUGUAGUUUUCCACUUAUCAGCCGUUCCUUAUAUAUAUAUGAUUAGUUUAACCCGAUUAACUGUUAAUAACUUGUGGCUAAAAACUAUAGUCUGUUGCUUUUCAUAUCGUAUGGUGGGUUAGAUUCAUCUUAAAAAUGGUUAUAGAUAAUUAUCAGAAUGUAUCGGCAUUAAAGUUAAAGACACUGCGGAAUUCUCCAUUUUCCAAGUGCUGGAAAAAUUAAAAGCUUUCUUAACAACGACAUUACAUUAUCAUUCAAUCACUAAUUACAUAAAAUAAAUUUCUCAAUUUUACUAAUAAUUAUCUAAAAAUAAUAAUUUCUUAUAAUUUCUUAUUGGGUGACUAUAUAAAAAAAGUGUUUAAUUUUAUGAUGCAUAAAAAUUAAACUCAAAUUUCAAGCUAUAAUUUAAGAAACAACUCAUCAAUUGCUGGUCCAAACCCGAAUUGUCUGGGUCCACACCAAGCAUACAAAUGAAGUAGUUAAAGUAAAAUUCUUUGGUGCAAGGAUUAAACCCUUUUUAUGGGUCCGAACCAAUUUCUGGAAAUGGGGUCAUCGUGGAAGAAAUCCAAUUCAGAGACAGGGAGAUAUGUACAGCACAUCACUACGGACAAAAGGCCAGCAAAAGGCCCAUUUGGAUAAAAAUAAUAUAAUAAAAUAUGUUUUCAAUACUUAUAUAUAUUUUUUUAAGAAUUUGAACCUUACAAAAAUUAAUGAUUUUCGUCCCUGCCACUAGUUAAAAUAGUAUGCGACCAGAGACAAAAAUCAUUAUUUUUUUAAAAGUUGAUGUUUCAAAUUGAUUAAAAUUAAAGUAGAACAAUUAAUAUCAAUUAUUAUCAAAAGUGAUUAAUGUGUUUAAGUUUGGUUAGAUCAUUUGAAUAAUAUUUCAAGUUUAAUGGUUGGUAAAAAUAAUCAUUAAACAUACUUUACUUAGUUUUGGUUAAAUUUUAGAUUAAUUAGAUUUUUUUUUCAGAUGAACCGACCAAAAUAUAUACAUGAGAGGCGUGUUUCCUCGAGCUAUAAUUAAAAGACACCAUUAGACGCUAAAUCAAAUACUAAAAAGUAGUUAUACGUACUAAAAGUAUAAAACACCUUUCAUAAAUGUAUUAAAUACAUACUUAAUUGAAAUACUUAUUAAACUCUAAACAUGAAACAGCUGGAUAGAAUUUGUGUGUGCGUAUAAACAAAUGGAGCAACAAUCUCCAUAGUCAGCAUCAAGUGACGAAAGCGCAACAUAAUUAAGAUCAUCGACCAAACAAAUUGAAUCUCCAAUUUCUUGAACUAUGUGUUGUUGCAGACUACGGUAUAAAAUAAUCUUUUGUAAUGUUGGAAUCACAAAUUCACAACGGGUAUAUAAUGUUUGAUUAAGGAUGUACUUAUUAGUUUAAUCCCUAAUGGCCACUUCUCAACGUCUCUUUCUUUUCUGUCUGUUCAAACAAUCGGGGCAGUCAAUUAAAAUACAGGUUGAAGUUAUUUCAAAGAUUCUUUAUAAUCAGCGUUAUAAGAGCACUAAUUAAAGAAAUAAUAACAUUUUUUCCAGUAAAACAUGCUUGAGAUGUGUUUAAAAUUAUAAUGAGGUGUAUUAAUAAUAUUUUGGCUUAAAUGUAAUAAUGAUUUUCUUAUUUUAUUCUGUGUAAUUUUAUUGUCUCUAUUUAUAAUUAAAAUAUUUGAUUUUUAUUUUUAAAAAUACUCAAUUUUGAUUCUCUCAUUUUAAAAUAAAAUCAUUUAAUCCUCUUAUUUUAUAAAAUUUUUAAUUUUGAUCAAAUUCUCAAUUUUUUUUUAUAUUUUAUUUCUUUUCUUUAGUCUAAUUGAAUCAUAAAUCUUUUAAGAUAUCAUCAAUAAAUAAUUUAAUUAAUUAUAAAAUAAGAAAUAAAAUGUAAGUAAAAUUAAAGUUUAUAUCAAAAUUAUAGAUUUUUUAAAAUACGAACACCAAAAUUGUAAAUUUUUUUAUAUGGGAACCAAAUGUUUAUAUUUUGAAAUAGGAUGAAUAAAAUUAUAAAUUUUUUAAAAUAAAAAGAUCAAAUAUUUUAAUUUUAAAAAUAGAUGAAUCAAAAUUAUAAAUAGAGUAAAAUAAAAAUAUCAAAAUUACAUUAGCUAAUGUUUUUAAUAGACAAAACUAUUGUUUUGCCCAUCCAUUUUUUAUAAACUAAUCUUUGCACAUCCAAUUAUAACAGGGAAAAUUUUAAAUAUAAAUCCAAUAAAUUUCUCUUUUAUUUUGCCUCUACUCUAUCUUCUUUUCUACCUUUCUCUCUUCUUUAUUUUUCUUUUCGUCUCUUUUUUUCUUCUUUCCCUACACUGCAAAAUGAAGUAUAAGAGCAAGGAUGAAUCUAGGAAUGUAUUAAAGUAAAAGAUUGGGUAUUCUUGACAAAAUUGCCAAGAUUAUUAGCAAUACACUUUUUUAACAUAUUUUUAUAGUGCUUUUUUAUUAUUUAUAAAAAAUUAUUAAAAAUAAUAAAAUUGUGAAGGAUUAAAUAUGUUUUUGGUUCUUUAAAUUUUUAUUUUUAUUUUUUUUCCUAAUUUAAAUUUAUUUUAAAAAUUCUCAUUUUUUAAUUCUUCAUGUGAUUAAAUACUGUUAUGACUUGUGCCAAAAUUAGUCAAGAAAAACUCAAAAAAUUAUUUUUUUAAUUGAUGGACUGAGAAAUUAAUUUAAAUUUGAUGGAAAAAACAUAUUUAAGCCAAUUGUGAAUAUCAAUGUUCCACUCUUAUUUAAUAAGUAUAUUUUACUUGUAAUUUUAUAAUUUUAAUAAAAUUAAUUGAUAAAAAAAUAUAUUUAAAAAGUUCAUUAAAAAAAAUGUAUGACUACUUGCUAGCCUGCUCAAAAAUUUUAUGUAGGCAUGAUUUAUUUAUCAUUAUUUAAAUAGGUUGAAGGAGCAUCGUAAACUAUGAAGGGAGAAGGUCCAUAUCGACACUCUGCACGAAAAUAUUGACGAUGAUGUAUGGAUGAGGGCAUAAUUAUUCUGGGAGAAAGUGUGGAUUACCUAUAUUACCCCUUAAAUAACAGUUUUUUUUUCACUUUUCACUCGGAAGCACGUGAGCCAUCAUAAGAUGCGAUGCACGAAAUAGAAAGCCCGACUCGAAAUUCAACAACAAAAAUGUUCUCAAAACCCAUCAGUCAAAUGAAACCUUAAAUCAUUGCUCAUAUGAAAUUUAAGAUUCAAACAGUGCCUUCGGAUUAGACCCCAUAUCCAUUCAACCCCCACACGCACUUCUUCAACGCGUGGGACCACGUGGUCAAUUUUUUUUUCAUUUUUCAUUAUUUUUCCCCUUUAAUAAUUUUCUAACAUUGUUCAAACUUAAAUUAGAUUUGAGCUAGCUUAGUCUAUCCCUUUUCUUUAUUCCAGCAAAAAAAAAAAGUCUACCCCUUUUUAUUUAUUUAUUUAUUUCUUGCUAAAGAUACAAUAUAUGGGAUGAGUUCUUGAAGUUAACAAUGAAGGGAUGAUUUCGUUUGAUUGGUAUUGGAAAUUGGGUUUGCGUAAACUGUAUUUUUACUUUAUGAACUUGUAUUUUCAAAAAUGCUAUUCAAAAUGUUGAUAUGAUUGUAUCUGAAUUUAAAAAUAACUUAUGAACGGAUAAAAAAAAAACUUAUGAUUACUAUAACCGAAAUAUAUAAUCUUAUCUAAUACAUAAUUAUGUAUCGUGGAAGGGGGUAAAGGGUUAUAAUGGCACAGUAUAGACGAAAACUGGCUUGGUAAGCCAAGGAUUAGAAUUUUAAAAUGCUUUCGCGGAUCCGUAAAGAAAAAAAAACAAUUGAUGUUGAGAAAAAGUAUGCAGAAAUACUUAGAGGGGUAUAAAAAGAGGAAAAAGUGAAGAUUAUAAUGAAUUUUGUGAUAUGUUUUCUAGAAAUUAAAAAAAAUUAUUAACUAUUUAUUGGCUUAGCUAAGAUGAAGUUUAGUCGAAGAAAUAUUUUAACAUUUUUAAGAAGUAGUACAUAGUAAUAUGUAUUUUUAUAUAUUUGGUAGAAGAGAAUAAUUUAUAGACAAGUGAGAAUAAAACAUAUAUUAAGUAUAAAGUUACUUGUGUAAAAAACAAGAGUAUAAAGUUACUAUUUUUUUCAUGAAAAUUGAUGGUAAAUGUAUUAUUCUUAAAAAAGCUGAAAAGUAAUCAAACAAAUUUUGUAAAUUUUUUUAAUCCCUGAAAGUCUCAUUUCUUGAAAAUAUAGUUUAGUUGAGAAUGGAAAGAAAAAAUUCUACAGUAAACACUAAAGAAUAAUGGAUAAUUUUUUUUAAAAAUAUUUAUAUUUAAAAAUACAACGUUUAAAGUUAUCAACUAAUCACAUUGUAGUUUUAAAUAAUAAUAAAAAAUUAUUAUUUCACUCAAUGGCUAAAAAAUAUCAUUACUGAUCACUAAAAUAAGAGAAAUUCAAAUGCUCUUAUCCUUCUUGAAUUAGAGUUUUUUUUUCUUUCUAUCAAAAGAUCUUUGCUAUUGAUUCAAGGCCACGCCUUAAACUCUACACGACACACAUCUAAAAUUAAUUAUAUAAAAAAUUCUCUUGGAAUGGAUUGCCAACUUUCAUGAGAAAAAAAGACAAGGGAAGGGAACAUAUUUAGUAGUGCCAUUGUCAUUGCCAUUUGAUGCUGGGCCAUUUCACGCAAUUUUUAGAUGUUAUUCCCACUUGAACGGCACUAAUUGAAUUCUAGCGGGUACACAUUGGAAACUUGAAAGCCUUCACAUAAUUAGCAGGCAAUAUCAGUAGGAGCAUUGGAGCUUAGUAAAUAAAAUUAGUGGCAAGCAUUGGGUUCAAAGUUUUGGCCUAAUUUAUUUAUGACUAAUAAUUUUUCUGUUCUUCCACUGUUGAUAGCCAAACACAUGAAGUACUAUCAAUGUCAAACACAUUUUUCAACCAUUACUAGUGAUCGAAACUAAUCCUAGUCAGCAAUGUGAAAUACCCCACAUGCACAUAGAUCCCAUCAUUUUGUUUUGACUUUGAAAGCCACCAUGAAGUUUCUAUGACCAAGCUUUCCUUUGAUGGGUUUACUAACACAAAGUAGUGUUCAAGUUUUCUGUGUAUUGGUCUUUUACUGUAUUCCAAAAGCAAUACAGCAACAAGCACUGUGAAAGUAAAACUGUUGGAACUUGGAACUACAAUCCAAAACCAGAAAUUGGUAUGCAAUAUUAUGUACUUAAAAAUGACCAGGCCAAAUUCUUUACUAGAUGUAAAUCAUUUGAUACAAGAGAAAGGGCAUGAUUGAAAAAAGAAAAACUCUUUAAUUAAAAGAAUGUACACAAGCAGAAUUGAGAAUUGAGAAUUUCAUCCCUGAAUUUGUAAGUUGUAAGCACAAGUGAAAAAACAUAUUCUAGAUAUUACUAACAUCAUUUAGACUCAAUUGCCUCUCAAAUAUUCCUUGUGAUUGUCAAAAAUUCCAUGAGUCUUCUUGAGUCUGGAAGAAAUUGGAUGAUGGCCUUUGCAUUCUAACACCACUUAUGCUGUUUCUUGCUGCCAUCAUUUCAUUGAGUGAGAGCCUUUUCUUGGGUUCAGGUCUUUGCUUUGGAGCACUAUGAGACCUUAGUUUUGCAUUGAAUGACUGAGUAUUGGCCAUGUAGUUGGGGAAAUUGGAGUAAGGUCUGAAGAAGGUGUCUCCACAAACACUCUUGGCUGGUGUAGCUGGAACAUUAGGCCUCACAUAGUUUGUGAAACGUGGGGUGCUAUGAGCUGUGGAGAAUCUACACUCAUCAACAUUGUAGUACCAAUCAAAAUCUUGAAUGUAUCUGCAAUCAGGAACUGAGAUUCGACCCGGGACUGGACAAGGAAGAGGGGAUGAGAUUGCAUGACAGGACAUGUCUUCUCCACACUCAGACAUUGUAGAGGUAAAGCGCCUAGACCUUGAUCGAGUCUUGUAUGUGUCAAUUUCAACAAUCUUGGGGCUCUCAUCAAAACCAUUCAAGGAUGUUUCAUAGGAUGUAGGUAGCCUUUUACUGUGGAAUUCACUCCUUGUUUCAUCAAAUCGUUCCUAAAAGUACAAAAAUGACACAACACAAGCAAUAAGACAUUGUUUGUUUGUUGAUAGAUAGAUAAAUGAUUGAAGUUGGCAAUCCUUCAGGACUAGAAAACCAGUUUUUAAUUACCACAGAUUUUCUUGCAAGAACUUCAGGUAGAAAUCUGUUUUCUUUGCUCAUCGAGCGACGAGCUCGCUGUGUUCUAACAGCAGUUUGAGCUCUUAUUAGAGCUUGCAUACUGUGAAGAGUUGCAGCAGCCCUCUUUCUAACCAAAUACCCUCUAACAAGAGCUUGUAUCUUAACCAAUCCUUUCAGUGCUCUAAGAGCCUUCCGUGCCUGAAAGUAAAAAACAUAAAAGUUUGAAUUGAAAGGGCUAGUAUAGUACUUGAUAAAAUCAUGAAAUUGACAAAACGUAUAAAAAAAAUUGUCAAAUAAUGAAGAUGGAUUAAUUAAAAGGGCAUCAAACAGAAAAAUAAGGAUUUGAAUAACAAGACAAGUCAACUCUAACGUGGAGAAUAGAAAGUGCAAAGGGUAGUUUGAAUGACCCAAACAGAAAGUGAAAGACACUGUUUCAUUAAGAAUCUAAAAUAAUUUUUGAGAGGAGACAAAGGAGUAGGAAUCAAGCAAAACACUUCACUUAAACCAACCAAAUAAAUUUGUCCAAGACAGAACCACCACAAUCACAAACCAAUGCAAUUUACCAAACAGCAUAUUCAAAAUCAAAGAAAACAGACAUACAUACACACAUUCAUACCCACAUAACCAACACCAAAAUUUUGAUUUGAACCAUCACAAAAAGACAAGAUACAUACCAAGUAGCCUCUAAAAAAAGUUUGGAUCUUCACAGCAGCCCACUUCUCCCUGCUUCCACUGAACAAUGCCCCUCUCCCCUGGCUUGUGAGCCUCACAACUGCCACAGCCGCCUGCGCAGCGGCCACGGCGGCAUCAGCAGCAGCCGCGGUGGCGGCUGCCACCGCAAUUGCAUGCUUGUUCUGCUCAUUCUCUGUCUCAGAAAUAUAGGAUCUGAGCCAGGUGUUAUCAGUGGCAGGAACUGAAGGUGGCACAUCCUUCCCUGGCUUGGCAAAACUCCACCUUUUCUUCUCCUUCUUGUCAGGAGCCAAUGAGCCUGAAUUGUCACUAUGGUCCUUCUCCUUCUUCAUCCCCAACAACCCUUUCAACCACCUGCUAGCUUUCCCCAUAAUAAUAACUUCACGACUUUUGAGUCACGAUCUGGAAUAAUGAGAAACGGUGCCAAAGUUAAGCGAAACUUUGCCUCUUUUGGUUAAAGAUAAAGAGGGUUUUGCUGCUUGUAAAUGAACAAGUGUAGCAACCAAGUGAAAACAAAUGGUUCAAUAUACAAGGGACAGGUGAAAAACUCAAACUGAAAAUGAAAAAUUCUUGGUUUAAAAAAUUGGAGGGACAAAGAAACAAGUGGAGUUUAGUGCAAACAAAAGAGGGUGUAGUGUAAAGUGUAAAGAAUCUAGCAGAAGAGAAGGGAUGAGAGCAGGAUGGAUGAAAAGAUUAAUAAAACGGGGUAAAAUGAAAUUUCAUCAGACAAACAAACUUUGAAAAUUAUAGUGAAAAAGAGGGAGGAGAGCAAAAAAAUGGAUAAAGCUGGAACUUUUUUUGAAAAUAAACCCUCUGACAGGACCUCGUGAAGAAGUGCAUUAGAGGACAAAAAGCGGUCACAGAAAGUUAGCAGAGGCUCAAAGGAAAAAAGAAAAUAACAUUAAAAUAGUAAGCAUAACGCUUCAAAAUCUCACCCCCUUGAGUAAAGAGACAAGAAUUACAGACAAAGCACAAAGGUGAAAUCCUAUGAAAAAAGUGACAAUAAUAAUCAUAGGGAAAAGCCCCCCCAACACCCAAAACAAAACAAACAGCUUCUUAUCUGAUCUUGAAUUCAAAAAAGAGAAAGAGCGCCGAAUUCCCUUCCCACCCCACUCACUCACUCCAAUAACACUACCAAAGUACCAACAAUAACCAAUUCCUCUCUCUCUCUCACACUUUGAAAGCAUUAUAUGUUAGUAUUAUGCUACAAAAAUGCAAUAUUUAUUACUUUGUUGUUGUUUUCUCUCUCUCUCUCUCUCUCUAACUUUCUGGAGCAACGUGUAGUACAUAUGAAAGAUACCCACUGACAACAAUCCCGUGAGCUUGGUUCAAACCGGGCAUUGAGUAAAAGGGUACUUCAAAGGCUCUCCCUUUCUUUCUCUAUUAUGUUGCUUUAUUUGAAAGAAAAACUGGACUGUGAGUUAAGUUCUGCAACCGAAUAACACCACUUUAAUGGCUAAAAUGAAAACUUGGUAGCAUUGAUAGUACACUCUGGUGUGUACCAUUCAUUAAAGGUUAUACCAACUAAAAGGGCUGCUUUAUAAUACUAAUACCACUAUACUAUCCAUCUUUUUUGUCCCGAUAAAAUAAUAAUACUACCCCAAAUUUGGGUCUGAGAUAUUGCAAAAGAUUUUUCAGUUUCCGUUUCCUCAUAGCUCAACAACAGUGAUUCUAGAAAACACUUUCUCCCUCGCCAUCAUCAUUCCACUGCUUACCCUUCUCUGCCACACGUUUCUCUUUCUCUUCUCCAAAAAAAAAAAAGUGUCUUUCCAAUCCACAAAAAACCAAAUCAAUGCUGCUGUUAUGUUUACUCCUUCAACUUCCUCUCUCUUCGGGCUACACCAUAACAAAACAACACUAUCUUGAUCUGAUUUGGAUAACUAAUAAUUACCGGGGUGGGUUAUAAGAUUCAAAUUUUGAAUUUAAAUAGUUUUUAAUUAGUCCAAUCUUUUAAUCAGUGGUAUAUCUUGGGGAGUUUUAACUUAUUUUGGGCUGGUUUAUUAGGGAAUACUAAAUACUAGCAAUAACCAGGUCAAGGAAAAUCCUAUAUUUUGGGCACGCACUGACUCUUUAAUUAAGGACAGAUUUAAAUGAGGAAAAUUUUGUUGUCUGAUUAUAAUAAUUAUACUAGAAACAAGUUUUUUUAGCUGCGAGGAUAUACCCUGUUUAUUGAUGUAUCAUUUUAGGUUUAAUAUAAUUUACAUUUUUUUAAAAAAAAAAACCAGGUUAAGAAGAAAUAAAAAACAAAACAAAACUCUAGUGUAAGGACCCAUUAAGUGGGUUUUAUGAUUAUAUUAUAAUGUGACAGAAUACUCUGUGAUCAGAAACAUUUUCUCCGAAGAUUUUGGCAGACAGUCGGAAUCCUAAUAAAUUGAAUUCAAUGUGCCCUUCUGUGAUUAUAAGGAUGGAAGAGGAAGUUGAAAUGGGUCUAAUUAUGAAAGGAUACUCGUUGCCACAAAUUUCUUUAUUUGCAUCCCAUCAUAAUUGUAUUUUGUAUGACAAAAUUAAAAUGUAAGGAUUUUUUUUUAAAAUAAUGAUGUUUUAAUCAUAUUCGAGUCAGAUCAUCGACUAUAAAACUUUUCUUCCAACUAUCUAAUGUAAUAACAUAUCCACUUCUACUUGAGAUCUCUAUUGAACUAAAAAUACUAAAAACCCGGGAAUUUCCUUAACUGUGUUGUGUUUGGUUGAGUUUCUUGAAUGUGUGUUAGACUCCAUUUUUAUGUCAAAAUCUUUAAAAAUAAAAAUAGUAAAAACAACAUUUAAUUGCUUCAAGUGGUCGUGGAUCCAAAAUUUUCAAUCUGGAAAUACAAUUUUGAGGCCAGAAUCACGUAAAUGACGUGAAAGCUAUCCCUAUUUUCUAGUAGCUUUACAUUUGACGUGAAAAAUCACAUGUGAUGCGUUAUCGAACACGCAGUAAAUUAAACAUGCACUGAGUUUGUUCUUCAGUCGGAGGAAAACUUUUAAUAUGCUAACGCUAAGUUUCAAUUUACGGCUUCAACUUCAACCUUCCAAAUCAUCAUAAACUAUGGUUGCUUGUAAGAUUUUCCACAUAAUAAAUCAUAACUAACUAAACAUGCGCAACAUUAUAAUAUUACAUAACCUUUUUGUUAUGGUGCUAUUUUUUGUCAUUCAUUUAAAUAUAUGAUAUCAUAUAGUCCAUAUAUAUUGAUGAUGCAAAAUUUUGUGCAACAUUGAAAUAGCCAAAGCUGAAUUCUAAUCAACAACCAAACACCCAGCUGGUUCUAUUUGAGUAACAGAUUGUUGGAAUUUUUGGGUAUAAACUAUAAUCCGACCCCUUUUGACUUAGUGACGUAAAUAUAUAAAUAUAUAUUAAAAGAUACGAAAAUGAAAAGAGUUUCAAGUAUAGUUUGAGUGUAUCUAUGUACUGUACUGUACUGUACUGUAUAUAGUGUGAACAGUACAAAAUGGUCCCGAAUCAUUGCAAUGAGCAUUCCAGUCUGUUUAUUUUGUACGCGUUACUGGGAUUCAGUGAAAGGGAGGGACCAAGAGACUAACCAGAGUUGAGUUGAGUAGGUACAAUAAUAUUGGACCACCAUUCCUUUAUAGUAUUUGCCUUAGGUAUAUAAACAAAUUCCUUAUGACAAAGCAAGUUUCUUCUUUGACUCUGCUCUUUUAGUUAUGGGCUAGCUAGAAAUUAGGUUCGUUCAUCUCAACUUUGAGCCCAAAAACACCUUUCUACAGCCCAAUUUGUUUCACAGUGCUCACUUACAUUGAAGUCAUUCUAAUCUAUAUAUGUACUUUAAUUAUAUCGACAGAAAUUGUGAACAAGACUUUCGGGGACCAUGUGAAUUUUAUUUAUGUUUUGUAUUAAAAAAAAAGUUAUAGCUAAUGAUAAAGAUAAAUUGGAACAAACAAAUGUCCUGAAAAUACAACAACUAUAACAAAUUAAAUAGUGGCUCAUUACUUCUCAUCUAUCCGAAAAUAAAAAGUGAUGAACUAAUUGUUAUAUUAUUGCGAAGUCAUUUAUGAAAGAUGGGCACCACAGGGAACAAAAGGACUGCAUUGCGGCAAUGGUUUAGGGAGGACAGAACUCGUCCAGCUAUAUGGGGUAUCAUUGACGAAAUUUAAUUAGUUUGAUGCAAUGACGACAAUGAUAGAAUGCGAAUGGAGUAGCCUUUUUAGUAUGGGGUCAAAUUAGGGUGGCUACUUAUUUCAUCUACAUACAUAUUAGCCAAAGUCCAAAGAUAACAGGUCACUCCACAUAAUGCAUGUGUGUUUUUUUUUCGAUGGAAAUAAUGCAUGUGUGAUAAAAAUCGUAUUAGAAUUAGGGUCGAGUAUGGUAGUCAUUUCGCUUUAAAUUUUGAAAUAAUUGUUUUUGUUCUUGGUAAGAUUUGGUCAUUCUAAAUUAUUUUCUUUAUUUUUUUUUGAGAGAUUCUUAUUUAAUUUUUAUAGCUCCAAAAAUUGAAUUAAUUGUUUUUAAUCUAUAGAAUUCAUUUUAGGAGAAACUAUUAAUGUUCUUUUUUAUUGCUCGACAAAAUUUAGACAUGUAGAAUGAUCACAUGAUCUUUUGCUAGGCAUAAAUAAUUAACCGUUGUCAUGUAAUAAUAAGGACCAAAAAGUAUUGAAUUCAAAUUUUAAUGGGAUGAAAAUUAAAAAAGCCUUUUUAUAAGUGUACAAAAUUUAGAACCAAAACAUAUUUAACCAUGAUUUCAUCAAUGCAAACAAAGUUGGGUAUUUACAUGUUUCAUCCUCUCAUGAGACAUGGGAUUGUGAACAAUAUAAUGUAGAUGGUAGACAGAUUGUCAUGGUAUGGAGGUUGAUCCAAGAUAAAGUGUAAAUAUGCCAAGAGGAAUCAAAGCUCUUGAACUAACCUAGUAUAUGAGGUUAUUCAACGCAUAAUAUAGCUAUUAUAUUAUGAAUAACCUACCAAGCUGAUAAAAAAAAAUUAAUAGCCUACCAAAAAUAUUGUUUGCGUGUAUGCAACAAGAUAAUAUAUUCUUUAAGCAUAAGCAACGCUUGAAUAACCUACCAAAAAUAUUUUUUAAAAACAAACAAAAUUAUUUAUGUGUACCAUUUUAUUAAUAUAUUAUAAUAUGAAGAUAUAGAAGCCAUAUAUUACUAUGUAUUUUAAAAUUUUCUUUUCAAUUAAAUAAGCAAAAGAAAUUUAAUCAUUAUCUUUCUUCCUUUUUUCAUCUCCAUCCAAAAAACAAUAUAAAAUAAAUACCUUAUUUGUCUUCUAUUGAUUUCUUAUUUUUACUUUUUUUUCCCUCUUACUUCUGCUUUACAUUCAAAUAAAGUAUUAACAAGUAAUGUCAAUUUGAUGAGAUACCUAUUGGUUUUGUCUCGUUGCAGAAAAAACAAAAAACAAAAAACAAAAAGCUUGAUUGAAGUGUAGCUAAAGUUGUUUUUACGUGACAAUGUUCUUGAAGCCAACCUCUUGACUCUUGUGUUGGUGUGUUUAUGGCCGGGCUUAUCUCUGAACUUGAUUCCAGCCCAUGUAUUUAGCGUUGGGUCUAGUCUUGUCUUUUAACAAAAAAAACAAACGUCUUAGAAUUUGAACAUACUGGGUCAAAAUGACACUGAGCUAGUAAAGAUAAAUACUUCUUUAUGUGUGUAUGUGACUGUGUUACUUUUGUUAAUAAUAACAUAAUAAUAGACUUCAUUAUGAAUAUUAUUUUCUAUGAUAAAAUAUAAAAUAAAAUAUACAAAAUACGUGCAUUUAAAACUUUAAUUUUAGAAAAUGUAAUUCAAUUAAUAAAGGAUUAUUUAUUUUACAGAUAUUUAUUCUAUUUAAUAUCAGUGGUAUGACAAUCUCUACAACAAUUUCUGUGAAGACAGUGGAUAAAAGGAAGUACUUUGUUUAAAAACAUGGCAAUUUAUUAUGUGUUGAUUUUGAUAUGGCAUGGAGGUUGGGUUUGGGUCUCGUGAUAUUGGUGAUGUGGAUAGUGGGUACAUCAAAGCUCUACUAUCUUUUUGUACUACUUGUAUCUGUUUUGAGUUACUCAUAAUAAAAAGUUGAAGUACAAUUAAUUUUAAUUUAGAGGAUAACUUAAUUUAUUUAUUUCUUUUAAUAGAUAUUUAUGAAAAAGUUUUCAAACAAGACUUUUUCUAAGAGUAUCUCCAACAGGACUUUAAAAUCAUGUCAAAUAAUUUGAAUGUGAUUUUAAAUAUAAGGUAAGUCUAAACACAAAAUAUAUAAUGUGACUUUACUCGUUGCCAAUUCCCAACAUUUGAAGAAGAAAAGUGGAGAGUUCCUAUUCCAUUUGCCCCACAUCUUUCUAAAACCCUAUUUCUAUCCUUAGAUAUUAUUGGGGCUACCACAGAAAAUUAUGAUACGAACAGAAAGAACGGCCCAUCUCCUCCUUGCCACGUCUUAUACUUCUCAAAUGGUUUGCACACGACACGAUCACACGUUCUCUCUCUCAACACUUGCCAUGGGUUGAGGUGCUCUAUAGUUGUUUCAGAAAAAUGAGUCUAAUAAUUUGUGUGUAAAAAAAAUCAUGUUCAUAACUAAAAAAAUAAUGCUUAUUAUAUAUAGUAAUCUGUAAUCGAAUUAUUAUUAUUAUUAUUUAUUUUUAAGAAGCAACCGUGCUUUGUUUUCGAGCCAGGGCGGACCAAGACUGCAAUUAGAGGGGGGCCAACCAUAGAAUACUAAAUGUCAAUUAUGAAAAGUUGAACAUAACUUUCUUUCUGUGGUUUGAUGUCUUUCAACCUUUAUCUUUGGUCAAUGUGAGUUUCCAAAUUUUGGAAAUUAUAACAAUUUUAUGUUAUUCUACAGACACUUUGAAAAACAAGAAUUCCUUUUAUUAAAAAAAAUAAAGUUUACCGAUUUGAGUUUAACAAAAUUUUUUAAAAAAUGAUUACAUGAUAACUCGAAUUAUUAAAAUAUAUUCAGAUAAGAUUUCUAUAAAAAAAGAAGAUAAAAUUGCUAUUGAUUUUAUAAUUUAAAAAGACAGGAAAUCAAAAUUGAUUAUAUAAUAACUAAAUUUUGAUCAAAUAAAAUAUUUAAAUAAAAUUUCUUAAAAAAAUAUAAGAUUGUUAUUGAUUUUAUUGUUUAGAAAGAAAAAAAAAGUCUAAAGAUAAAAAGAUUAUAUAAUAACUAAAAUUAAUAAAAUAUAAUCUUCAAAUAAGAUUUCUUUUUAAAAAGCUAAAAUUAUUAUUAAUUUUAUAAUUAAAAAAGUCAGGACAUUAAAAUUGAUUAUAUAGGUAUAACAACUAAAAUUUGAUAAAAUAUAAUAUUUAAACAAGAUUUUCUAAAAAGAAAGUCAAGUGAUAAAACAAAUAAUAAUCUAUCUUGUAUAGGAAAAAACAUUAUUAAUAAGGAUCAUUACAUAAAUGGCUUAACUAUCAGAGUACGGAAUAUAUUCCAUUUCACUUUGCCUAGUUUGAAACAAAUUAUCUCAGAUUGCUGCUCCACUUAAAGUGUAAUUCUAUACUAAUUAUUAUAUAAACAAUACAUAACAAUAUAUUUAAUUUAAACUUUGUAAACAAAUCAGGGAGCCAAGGCUCCCCUUCCUUCAACGUUGGUCCCUCGUUUUAAGAUAGAUUUUGAGAAGAUUUCUGAUUUUGUCAAGUAUAACUUCUUGUAUUAUAUGAUAGAUAUUGAGAUUUGAUGAAAAUAUACAAGUUGGAAUAAAACUUGCAUUGAAACAACUACAAAUUUAGUGUUGGUUAAUGAGAGCUAGCCCAACAUAUGAGUUUGGGAUGGAGCAUUACCUAAUGCAAGGUGAUUUACUUGCGUCUUUCUUUUUACUUAUGGUAGUUGAAUGACUUAAUGGUCUUAUGAGGGUGGCAAAGACAACAAAUUUGUUCAAAGGAAGGAAAGUAGGAAAUAUAUAUAGUGGAAGAAAAUUGGUAUUCUUUAAUUUGCUGAUGAUACUCUUUUUCUAGGGAACCUUUUGUUUAGGAUAUGAUAAAUCUUGAAAAGUAUGUUGAGAUGUUCUGAGUUCAUUUCAGGACUAAAGGUUAAUUUUCAUAAAAGUAACCUUGCAUGCAAAACUAUGACUUAUAGAUGAUAAUAUUUUUCAGUUUGUCUCGUUCAUGAAUUAUUUUGUUAUGUUCAUUUCUUUUGUCUACCUUGGAGUUCCGGUGGAUGCAAUUCCAAGGAAGGAAUCCACAUGGGAUAAGUUGGUAGAGAAAAUAAUAGGAAAUUUUUUCAAGAUGAGACAAAAGGAUUUCGAAAAGGUGUAUGAAAGACUACUGAAUUGGGACUUGUUGAGAUUAUCUCUAGCUCAGUUUUAAUUUCCAUUUGAUAUUAUUAAUCUCAUCAUGAAGUGCACCACUUUUAAUUCUUUGUCUUUAAAGUAGAAUAAUGAGAUUUGUAAAAAUCUCUCUCCUAAAAGGAGUCUCUAUUAAGGGAAUCCUAUGGCUCCAUAUCUUUUCAUGCUUAAUUAGUAUAGAGAAGUUGGUUUUUCUUAUUCAGGAAAGAUUUCAGACACGUGAAUGACAACCAAUUAAAGUAUCCAAAACUGGCCUAACCUUUUCCCAUUUAUUUUUUUGCUGAUGACUACCUUCUUUUCACCAAAAUGUGUCCAAGUCUGCAGGCUCAUAUUGUCAAACAAACGUUAGAUAUCUUUUGUAAAGCUUAUAGGUUCAAAGUAAACGUUCAAAAGUCUGUAUUUGUGACAUCAAAGAAUGUGGGAAAAAGGAUUAUAUCCCAAUUUUCGAACAUCAAUGGAUUCACUCAUACCAUGAAAAUUGGUAAGUAACUCAGACUCUGAUUAAUGAUAGGACAUGUAAAAAAUUCAGAUUUUGCCUUCAUUAUGGACUGUAUCAACUCGCGUUGAGUUGGUUGGAAACCAAUUUUAGCAGCCACCGACGUAAAAAAAAUUCUUAGCGGGGGUUAGAAAUAGUUUGAGGUUAACUAUAUUUUUGCUCCAAUUUUUUUUUUUAAAUUUCACGUUUAACUAGUCCCUAAACAUUUUUUUAGUAUUUUUGGUUGUUCUAUUUUUCUCUAAUGAUUUUAGUUCUUGUUAUCAAAUAACAUCAUUAAUUAAUUGUUAAUCUAAUAUUCAUGUUUGCAACCUAAUGACUUGUUACAAUAUAAAGGAGUUUGAUGAGAUAAUAAUAUGUAAUCUUUUAGUAAAUUAUAUUUUUAAUUUCUCAUAAACUUAUUAAAAAAAUUACAAGUGAUUGCCCCAUGUUAAUCAAUGUUUUAUUCGAGAAUAGGAACUAAAACUAUAAAAAAAUUAUAGAAAUCAAAUACAUUCAAAAAUUAUUUAGGGAUUAUAACUGAACUUUACAAACAAUUUAAGUACAAAAACAUAAUUAACCAAAUUAAUAAUAUUUUUUGUAAAAAGAAUAUCACAAAUUUUUAUAAAAUACAUAAUAUCAUAAUAAAAUAAAUCCAGAAUAUUUAAUUUAAGCUUAUAUUAAUUAUAAUUAUCCUCAACUCAAUUUCAUAAUUUGAAGAUAUUCUGUGUUUUUUUCUUAUAUUUUUACAUCCAUUUAAAAGAAAUUAUCUUAUGGAAACAAUAAUUAAUUUUUUAUGGGGCAAAAGUUUUUUUUUAUACAUAUAUAAAUAAAUAAUCAUUGUGGGGGCAAUUGACCGCACAAUGAUGUAUGUGCAUCCGCGAAUGAUUGUUAGGUUUGUUCCAAAUACUAUACAUAUAUAUGCCAUGCAUAAUCCAUGGUUACAUGAAAGUGUUUGCGAUCCAUACUUAUAGAGAAGCUCUUAGGGUGAGGUUGGAGAGAGAGAAAUAGAAGAAGAAAGAAAGACAAAUGGUUCUAUCUUGUUACUUUUUCACUUAAGUCCCACUUAAAUAAAAUAGAAUACAUAAUAGGUGUUAAUCAUUAAAAAAUUGUACUUAUUUUUUUAAAUGAAUAUAUUUUUAUGAUAAAUUGAGUAAUUUUUAUUAAAUAAUCAUAUCAAUACAUAAAUAUUUAUAAUAGAUUUUAUAAUAUUAAAAAAUUAAUUUUGAUAAUUAUUAUAUUUUGAUAAUAAUUUUAAUAGUAGUUAGAAAUAAAGAUUGAAAAAGUAAAAGGUAAAAAAAAACAAAUGAAAAAAAGUAAAGAAUUUUAAAAAAUAUAAUAAAUAAUAAUCGAAACGUGUGUAACAAUAUUAUUAUUGCUUCAACUAAUAGUUUCAAAUUCAAAAUAACCUAACCUUGUGUUGAGUAACAUUAAGUCCUAUGCAUGUUUUGAUAAAAUUGUCAAUUUUUUAUUUUUUUUUUGAAAUAAAUUACUUUGAUGAUAUAUUUAACUUGUUGAAUCUUGUUUUAUAUAUUAAUUACUUUUAAAUGCAUUUUUUAUUUUGAAACAUCAAAAUCAUAUAUGAUUAUAAUAUGAUAAUAAUAUUAUGUAAAUAUUUAAAAAAUUAAAUUUAUAAUGAUUUGAAAUUAUAACUGAUAACGUCAAAAUAUUUAUUAUGGAUGGAGGGAAUCGAAAACAAUAUUGAACACGUGAAUUUAAAAUCUCUUUGAAGCACUAAUAAUUAUAAAAUUAAUAAAAUCCUUAAUUGUGUGAUGCUAUAAAUAUCUGAGAAAAAUCAAGAAAGGGCUAACCCCACCAUUCCCUUCACCGCGCUUUCUCUUUCUCUCUUUUUUCUGUUCUACAAUCUCUUCCCUUCAUCCUCCUCUUUCAGAUCUCCCUUUAUUUUUCUCCCUUUUCGUUUUUCUUCGAUUUUGAGAUCUAGGGCUUUUUAAUUUCCGCAAUUACUCGCACCGCUUAUCUUUUCUUCGUUCUAGGGUUCCGAUUUGCCAUUCAAUUCGGUUUUCCAUUGUGGGUUGUGUCCGGAUUCUCGAUCGGUUCCCUUUUCUUCUUCUUUUUUUUUUUUACUCUUAAAAGUUUUCUGGGUGUCGUUUUGUUUGAGGUUGUUUUUCUGAGAAAAAAAGUUAAAAAAAAUCCUUUUUUUCCGGAUAUUUGUGCGUUGAGAUCAUGGGGGGCUCUGAAGGGGUGGGAGCAUCGUCGAAGCAAUUCGGUGUCACAAAGCCCAUAUCAAUGGCUGGCCCAUCGGCUACUGAUUUGCAAAGGACUCGUGAGUUAGAGAAGGUUAGUUUCAUUGUUUUUUGUAUAUAAUAUGACACGCUUUUUGUUUAUUAAGGGUUUGUUUAUUUAUUUGUCUGAAAAAUUCUGUUUUGUUUGCAAGUUUCUCGCUGCUUCGGGGCUUUACGAGAGCAAGGAUGAAGCUGCCAAGAGGGAAGAGGUUCUUCACCGGCUUGGAGAGGUAAAGGGAGAGAUAGAGAGAAUUUUGUUUUGAUGAUUCUUCGUUGUAAUGAUUGUUGCGAUGCCGAGUUGAUGUAAUUAAUUGUUUGAUGACGACAACUCACGUUGAGAAACUUAUAUGUAUGAUGAUGUCAAACUAGGAGUUGUAGGGGUAAAAUAUGCAACUUUGUUUGAAUUGAUAAGGGUGUUUAUUUCUCUUACGAGGAGCUUAGUCUAAUUGAGUGGUUAAUACAUGCUUCUUAUUAUUUAUCAUUUGGUAAAGUUCUUUUUCUGUUACUUUGUCUUGCUGGCAAUAAUAAUCAUUAUAGUUUGAAUUGUGGUUGUGACGAUGGGGUCUUGUCUCCAAUCGCUUUAUGAGUAUACGGUCAUUUACCAUCUAUUGAGAAGCUAUUUAGUUACUUAUUAUGAGGGUAAUCAUUUUGCUUUUAAUUUGUUUUCUUUAUUUCAGAUAGUUAAAAGUUGGGUGAAGCAACUGACCCGCCUUAGGGGAUACACUGGUCAAAUGGUGGAGGAUGCAAAUGCUAUCAUUUUGACUUUUGGUUCUUAUCGGCUUGGUGUGAGUAUCUUACCUCCUUGCUUUGCAUUCGCACAUUCACAUCUUGGUUUAUUGCUGUUGAAUCAAACAACUCAAUAAUGAUCUUUAUACCCUGUUUGGGAAUAAGAUAAUCUUACCAGUUUGCAAGGGAUUGUAUUGUUUUUUAGCUAUUAAACAUGGUUUUUACUCUUUGUUAAGUUCUGUAUGUAAUUUUCUUCACCUAUUUUUUUAUUAAUUGAUUAAUUAAGCCUAUAUUCAUUGGUUUUUUUAUGAUGCAGGUUCAUGGUCCUGGGGCUGACUUGGACACUUUAUGCAUUGGGCCGUCCUAUGUAACCCGAGAGGUAGAUUGGGAGUGCAAAUAUUUUUUUUUUAUUGUGUGCUUUAUAAACAUCAUUCUUAAUUUUUAUAUCUGGUUUUUCAUAUUUUCAUCACCAGGAGGAUUUUUUCUACACAUUGCAUGAUAUCUUAGCUAACGUGGAGGAAGUCACAGAAUUGCAACCAAUUCCGGAUGCUCAUGUCCCAGUUAUGAAAUUCAAGUUUGAUGGAAUAUCAAUUGACCUCCUCUAUGCCAGUAUUUCUAGAUUGGUUUUACCUGAAGUAAGAAAUCAUUUUCUUUUUCUACUUAUUCCUGAAUAAAAGAAAUCUUCUAAAUGAAAGGGGCAAGCUUCCUUUUAUAUAAUCAGUGUUUUUGUUUAUCUUUGUCAAUGAAAAUUUUAAAAUGGGCUUUUAAUCGUUCACUUUGUUUUUUGAUGAAUCCUAGUAGGUUUUCUAUAUUCAGAUUGAGUGUGCUUGAUGUUAUUAUGAGGUCAAAGUGACCUCAUAUGCCUGACUCAGCGACCUGCAUCAUGCAAGUUUUUGUGUCAUAUUUUGGAACUUUGUUUCUUUUUGAAUUUAUGAACAGGACUUGGAUAUAUCUGAUGUCUCUGUUCUACACAAUGUUGAUGAGCCUACCGUGCGAAGUUUGAAUGGCUGUAGGGUUGCAGAUCAAAUUCUAAAGCUUGUUCCUAAUAUUGAGGUAUUUUUUCUUAUUGCAUUAACCCUUCCAUUUCAUAUUAUUUACUGUGCCCCUAAUACUUCUACACUUUCUUUUGUAUGGCUUAUAGCACUUUCGUACAACACUUCGCUGCUUGAAAUUUUGGGCCAAAAGGCGAGGCAUUUAUUCUAAUGUUAGUGAUAUUUUAAAUUUUUUUCCAUCUUCCUUACUAAUCAUUCAAUUGCUUGCUUCCUGUAUCCACUAAUAUGGUUAUUGGCUAGUUUAUAAAUAUUUCGGUUAUGAUUUUUUUGAUGUUUAUUUUCAGGUGACUGGUUUUCUAGGUGGUGUUAACUUGGCACUUCUUGUAGCCCGAGUGUGCCAGUUUUAUCCGAAUGCAGUUCCAAGUAUGCUUGUUUCCAGAUUCUUCAGGGUAUAUACACAGUGGCGGUGGCCAACUCCUGUCAUGUUAUGUCCAAUAGAGGAGAAUGAGCUUGGGUUUCCUGUUUGGCAUCCUGGUAAAAAUCCCCGUGACAGAUCCCAUCAUAUGCCAAUCAUUACUCCUGCCUAUCCCUGUAUGAAUUCUAGUUAUAAUGUUUCUACGAGCACCCUUCGUGUAAUGAUGGACCAGUUCCAAUAUGGCAACAAGAUCUGUGGGGUAAUCAUUACUCUUGUUUAGUUCUUUAGAAAUAUUUUGAAUAUUAAUACUUAUUUAUCUUAAAUAAUUGGUAAUUAUUCCUUUGUCUAAAAAAAUCCAGGAAAUAGAAUUGAGUAGAGCUUGUUGGAAGGCUCUGUUUGAACAGUACAGUUUCUUUGAAAGCUAUAAAAACUACUUGCAAGUUGACGUAGUUGCUGCUGAUGCUGAUGACUUGCGCAGUUGGAAAGGUUGGGUGGAAUCACGGCUUCGCCAGCUGACUUUGAUGGUAUGUUCAUUUAUUUAUCUUGGUGAAAUCAGGACAAUUUUUAAGUUGUUACAUGAGAAUUUAUAGAAUUUACAAUGAAUUUGUAUCCUGUUUGCAGAUUGAACGUGACACUUUUGGGAAGUUGCAAUGUCAUCCCUAUCAUCAUGAGUUUGUGGAUACUUCAAGGCUGUGUGCACAUUGUGCUUUCUUUAUGGGUUUGCAGAGGAAACAGGGAGAGGUUGUUCAAGAAGGUCAGCAAUUUGAUAUACGAGGGACAGUUGAAGAAUUUCGGCAUUCUGUUAAUAUGUACAUGUUCUGGAAACCGGGGAUGGAGAUUUAUGUUUCUCAUGUUCGUAGAAGGCAAAUUCCAUUCUAUGUUGUUCCUGAUGGUUAUAAACGAUCUCGGCUAUCAAGGCCAACAUCACAAGUUGAGAAUUGUAAAUCAUUUCAUAAUGAGGUUUCGGGGACUGAACAUGUUGAGAGAAUCCGUAAGAGGAAGAACAAUGACGGUGUGGAUGUGAGGGGGGAUGCUAUAGUUAAAAGGCAAUCUGCUAGUCCUUCUGAAGAUAGAUUGGCAAGACACAGCAGCCUUGGUACUGGUGGUUUGUCUGUUGAAGCUGUAUCUGAUAGACAAGAGUUGAGAAAUGUUGAGUGCAAUCAUUUGUCAAACAGUGGGCAAGAUGAGUUGGAUAGAACAGAGUCUCCAGAAGCUGCUUCAAAUUCUAGUGUGAUUACAUCUGUUGGUUCUUCUGAAGAUACUGGAUCUGUAACAGUGGCAGGAUGUGUUGAGGAAAGCACCGGGGGUGUUGAAAUGAUGAACAAUGGCUGGUUUGAGGAUAGCACUUAUGGGAAUGAUUCUGUCACACUGGUGAAAAAUAUAGUGGCAAGUGGAAAUGAAGUGUUUCAACAUGAGCUACAGGAGCAGUUUCAGGUUUUGGUUUUCAAUUUCUUCCUGAUUUUUUGCUUUCUCUGUUACAUAUUUUACUGACAUGAUAUAUUUUUCACCUAUUGUUUCAUUAGUAUAGUGUUUUUAGCUAUUUGAUAUUUUUUUAAUUUCCUCUUUUUACCGUAACUGUAUAGAUUGGACAGCCAAGUGCACUGAUGUGCAAGGUCUUCCCUGGAGUACUGUAAAGCCAAAAUGCAAUGAUUGUAUGGCUUUCGGUGAUGCAUGAUAUCUUCACUAAAUCUGAGUGAUGUAUUAGAGAUAGCCUUCUAAAGGCUGCUCGUGCACAUUUGAAGAAUUUUGCACAUCUACUGUUAUAUUGUUUCAAUUGUUAUAACCUUUUUGUUAGCUUAUCUUACAAUGUUGUGUACUGACCAAUUUACCUUUUUUUUUCCUGGGGCUUUAUUCUGAAGCCGAAUGCAACGCUAGGGAUGGUUCUUGAUUCUGCAGAAAAGGUUAUUUCAGAAGUUGUGCAAGAGCCGGUGAUAAGGCAUGUUCUUGUUUAAUAAUUAUUGUUUUUAGAGCUGGUCUAUCUGUAUUUUGUCUUUAUGCUGUCUCUUGUGCUUUUUGAUGUAUCAGGAGAUUGAGACUAUCAUCGACAGUGUGAGAUAUCAGUAGCAAUAUCUGGAAGUGGCAAUCUUUCAGUGGAGAAAGAAGAGAGCCAGCAAUUUGGGUAAGUACUAAUUUAAAUGGCUGGCCUUCAUUUCUCUAUUUUUUUCAGGCUUGCUUGAUCAUUCAAGCUUGCAAAUUGGGACUGAUCCGAAUCAAGCUGAAGAGCUGGAGCUGAGAUUUGUCAGCCCUUUGUACAGUUUUGCAUUUUUUGUGCAUUUGACUCGAUUAACUUUACUAGAAGCUCUGUUUAGGAUUCUUACUAAACUUAGGGGCAUAUUUUAAAGGCUCUUGCUGUACUUUGCUGUUGUUUUUGCUUUUUUUUUAGGGCUAGGGAGAUCCGGGGAGGGUGGGGGUUGGGUAGUGUUUUCUACUUUUCUAGCAGAGGGAGUUUAUUUAGCAGCAAGGCUUAUAUACUGAUAUUGUUGUACUGCCUGAGAGGUUAGCAUAUAAACAUGACAGUGAUAUGGCAACUGCUGUCUCAACCUUCUGCUGUACAUUUCUUGGUUUCUCGCCUCUGCUCAACAUCCAACAAUUAGUACUAUUAUCGUGUAAAUUCCAUUUCACUAAUUAACAAGAAACGAAUAUACACCAAUAAAUUAUGAUUCCAUAUUAUAGAAACAUACUAACCCAGUAAUAACUACUUCCACUUAAAUCCAAUUGUUGUGGACAAGGUUGAUUCUUAUUCUCAUGUUGGAAACUAACAAAUUUGUUUCUCUUCUAACUUGUACUCAGUUUACAAAAUUAAGAAAUUAUGUGUGGGUAAGUUUUGACUUUUUUUUUUUAGUAACUCGAGAAGCGAGAGAAAAGUAAGAUGAGUGAUAUGAUGAUGAGAAAAAAAAAUAAUUAUUACAUAUUCAAUAUCAAUAGCAUAAUUUUUUUGGUUUUACCAUAAAGAGUAACAAAAUGCUAUUACUCAUUUACUCUUAUCUUGAGUUGAAAUUAUCAUGUUCGAGGUAAAAUUGAGUGGUUUGUCAAACUGAACAUAAACAAGUGAACAACCCACCAGAAAAAUUUUGUACUACUAUUUUGCAUGUGAAGGAAGAAAGCCAGUAAUUCUCCUAUAUUUUUUGGUAUAUACCAACUUGGUGCAGCGAUAUAAUAAAGUGAUCAUAUUUUAUAGUAGUUCAUGUGUAAGAGAUUAAGAAAUUGAUUAACCGGAUAAAAAGAACUCUUAAAACAAAAUUAUAUCAAAUCCACUCGUGUUUAUUUCCCGGUAAACUCGUGUACAGAAAUGGACAGGUACAAGUACAAUUUUAUUUGUUUAUUUAAACCAGUCUUAGCCACAACGUGCGAUGAAAUAAUUCUAACAUAGGAUACGAUGAGGAUAUAGUUUGCAGACAAGUUGCUUUGUUUUUGUCACGUUGCUGUUCCAAAUUUUGUUCGCUUCCUACACACGUCACCAUCAAGCAAAAUUAUUUCAAUUACCGAAAAUAUAAAUUCUGAGUUAAGCAUUACAUUACACACAACAAUUUGUCAUUCAUUUUAGUACAAUCACUUUAAUUAAAUUCGUUAUUCGCUUUCCUAAUUAGUCGCAGUGGUCAAUAAUACUUUAUUUUUUAUUUACUUGCGCUUUCUGUUUAAAUAUAUACAUGACGCGAGCAUGAUAAAACAGAAACCGUUGGUUGUGCGUUAAGUCCGAGAAAGCAAAACUGAGGAAGGUGGUGGUGUGUGCUACGGUGAUUGGAGCGUGCACGGAGGCCGCGGCGGCGGCGGUGCAUAGGAACGUGAGGAAAUGUCAACGGUGGGGAAGGGCAGUAGAAAUAUUGAAGGAGUUGGAGGAGAAGAUUGCGAAGCCAACGUGGAAGCUGAAGCUGAAGCUGGUUGUGCAUGCCAUGAACGUUGAGAUGCACGCUGGUCUUGCUUCCGAAGGUGGUAGCAAGCUCAAGAUGCUCAUCACUUACGUUGCUAAGCUCCCAACAGGGUAUUAUUGCAUUGCAUUUUUUUCUUGAUCCAAUCAACCUUUAAUAUAAGAUCUUAUUCAAUGUCAUUCUCCUUAAUAGAUCAACAUAAUUAUAUAAAUCCAUUUCCAUAAAACAUUCCUUCAGUGAGUUUGGAGGACUUUAAAAUUCUGAGAAAUUUUAAAUUUUAAAAAUUUUAAAUACUCAAUUAAAAAUUUUUUAUUUUUAAAAUUUUGUGUUUGGAUAAAAAAAGUUAAAAUUAUGAGGGUGAAAAAAAAAAGAAUGAAAAAAAAAGAAGAUAUAAUUGGUGUGCUAGUUAUACGUGUUCUUCUACGCUCAGACCCGAUCGAUGUUCCAUAAUCUCAUACGGUGUUUCUCGAAUAAGACUGUAAGAAGAGAAUUUCAAUUUCUCACCUUUUAGAAGAAAAUUGAAAUUCCACAUUUUAAAAUUGUGUUUUAAAAUUCUAAAAUUUUAAAUUGUUCAAAAAAAACAUCCAAACAAUGAAUUCUAGAUUACAGAAAUUCAAAUUCUCUGAUGAAUCUUUCUUCAGUUAAAAUUCUCUAUCCAAACAUACUCUCAUGAAAUUUUGAAUGUUGUGGAGAUGCUAGAUUUGUUACUAUGUGGAUGAAUGGUGAUUAUAAAUUAUUACAGCUUUUUGAUUAUUGAAAUGCAAUGUCUAUAAAAGGAAGUUGUGACUUGCAUUAGUCAGUGGCCACUCGUUAAUGGUAUGCCUUUGUGUUACUAGAAUAGGUGGCUAGAAAGCUAAGAACAUGCCAUCAUGUGUGACAUGAAUGACAAAUAAGUAGAUAACUUUGUUCCUAAACACACUGAUUAAAAGUUCGAUUCCAUGCUGGUAUAUGGAUUAUGGAAAAACAUCUGACGGAAGAAGUUAGUUCCUUGAAUGGAUGUCGGUGUUCAAGAGCAAGAGAUUAGUCUUUGCCUCUUGCAGACAAAAAAAGACAACGUCUUUAUCUCUUUGUUGGAGGAUACCCUGGAUUUAACCAAAAAGAAGAAAGCUGAGAGCAUGCUGAAUCCAACCUUUGUAUUUAUGAAAUUUGCUGUUUCACCUUUUUGCUGUAACACUAUUGGAAAGUGAUGUGGAAUUGCAAAGUAACAAUGAAGAUGGUGAUUAAGGAGUAAUUGGUUUUUCAUUGUCAUAUUUCAGAUGCAGUAAUAUCUCACGAAUUCAUAUUCAUGUGGUAGUUGUGAAAGAGAAUUAAGUUAGUGACAUUUCAUACUUCAACUGUUAAACUUUUCGGUGGUGAAUGUGCUUUUUUUUUUUUACUCGUUCUGGAAAAAAUUGAAAUUUUAGGGGCUGUGAACAAAUAUUAUACUGUUUAGUGGUUCUUAUGCAUCCCUUCCCUUUUCAGGAAUGAGGAAGGACUAUAUUAUGCAUUGGAUCUUGGAGGGACUAAUGUUCGCAUGUUACGUGUGCAAUUGGGAGACAAGGAUGUUGGUAUUAUUAGUCAAGAAAUCACCGAGGUGUCAAUUCCUCCUAAUUUGAUGGUUGGGACAUCAGAUGCAAGCUUUUUUUUCCUUACCAGUUUGAAAUUCCUUCUGCCUACCAGCGGUUCUGUUUACUCUUUUUCCUAACACUUGUUGAUCUUUGUGUAAAUCAUAUGAGAAACAAAACCAAUCUAAAAAAGUUGUGAUUCAGGAACUCUUUGACUAUAUUGCAGCAGAACUAGGAAAAUUUGCUGCCCAAAGAUUUUCAAGUGUCUCCUGGUAGGCAGAGAGAGCUAGGUUUUACCUUUUCCUUUCCUGUCAUGCAAACGUCUCUUGCUUCUGGGAACCUUAUCAAGUGGACAAAAGGCUUCAACAUAGAUGGCACAGUUAGUCCCAUUUCCUGAUUUCUUUGAUGCCUUUUACAUCUUUUUCAGAUUGAAUAUCUCCUUUUCUGUGGAGUAUAAUUUAUUGAUGAUUAAUUCUUAUGUCUCCAUUUACAAAACCCUAAAUUUGAAUUUGCAUCACAAAUCAAUAUUAUAAUACUAAGUAUUAUCUAAUCUUAAUGGAUUACACACCAUAAUGAGGAUAUGUUCAAGAGAUUCUAAUAUUUAAUCUCUCAUGUUAUUGAUUUUAAACGCCAUCUAUCGAAAUUUGUUAGUAAGAUAUAUUCCAUAUCUCUUUUCAUUUUUGCAGACAGUGUUGAUGAAGUGAACUCCCCUAAACUCAUUAAUGCGGAAGUUCUUAUUUAUCUACUACUUGUUAAUAGUGUUGAGACUAAUGAUUUUGGAGAAUGGAGGGUUUAGAUUCUAGAAACUACUAUUCUUUCACCUUUGCAUUUAAAUUUAAACUUAGUGUUGUUGUUUAAAUAGGUUUGGUCAAUAUGUUGUGGCAGAAUUAACAAAAGUAAUUCAGAGACAAGGCCUUGACAUGUGUGUAACUGCUCUGGUAAUUGAAAGUUUUGCACUUUUGCAUAAAUUAAAAAGAUCACUAAGACUUUCAAAUCUUAGUUUUUAUUUUUUAUGUUUUAUAGAUCUUAAGGCAAAUGCCUUUUCAGGGUAUUAUCUUUUACUUCUUUCCCUGUCUACUGAUAUUCAGUAUCUAUACUAGGUCAAUGACACAGUUGGGACACUAGCAGGAGGUCGAUACACAAACAGAGCAAUGCUAUUAUUUUAGGUACUGGUACAAAUGCAGCCUAUGUGGAACGUGUUCCAGCAAUACAAAAAUGGCACGGUCCUUUGCCAGAUUCUGGAGAUAUGGUGAGCAAUUCUUGUCUUAUUUUCCUUUGAUUGAGUCCUUAGUCUUAACAAAGGUUACAUAUUAUUUGAUAUGAAUGAUAGAUUAAAUAUUGAAGCUUCUUUGAUAUAUGAUAUGACUCUAGGCUAUCAACAUGGAGUGGGGAAACUUCCGGUCAUCACACCUUCCAUUGACUGAGUAUGAUUGUGCAUUAGAUGCCGAGAGUUUAAAUCCUAGUGAUCAGGUGAGUUUGUGUUGCUUAUUAGCUCCAUCUUGUCUGCCUUAGUAAAUGAGGUUAUAUAAUCAUUUUUCAACCAUAAUUCAGAUUUUUGAGAAGAUGACGUCUGGCUUGUACUUGGGAGAAAUUGUUCGUAUAGUGUUUCAGUACAAGUGUGAGGUGAAAUCUCACAUAUUGUAAGAAUAAGAAGGUUGAACACUAUAUUAGUGAAGACAAGACCCUUAAAUCUAAGGCUUUGGAUUAAAGUGUAGUGUAGAAGUAUCCUUUUGGCUAUUGUCCAUUGUCAAAGGAAACAAAGUGGUUAGAGAAGAGAAAAACAAAGAAUCUUACAGCUGAUAAGGUUGUGAUGUGGAUGCAUUCUGGGGAAACAAUAUCAUCAGAGGAGAACAACAUAAUUUUUGACUGACUAAGAUUAUUUUAUCUCUCUUAAAUUUUAAGUUUUGUUUAUUGUUUUUGUCUUGAUAAGAUUCUGUGUAACAGAAUUUUAUUAGUUCUACUUUUAACUUUUAAUAAGGAUAAUUGUUAGUAAUUGUUAGUUAUGAUCCUAUCAAUUAGUUCCCCUUAGGAAGAAACUAUUUCAGAAAAAUCUGUGUUACUCUAGGUGGGGCUCUUGUUAAGGAUGAGUCUGCUUCUUGCUUUCACUAUAGGUAACAAAAAGUAUUUGUGUCUAGGCCUGAAACUUGGUGCUACACGAAUGUUCAUAACAGGUUGUCAUAGCCAUCAUAGUGGAAAAUUAAGGGGGAGUUUUGUUCAUUGCUCCUCAGCCACUCGCAUGUGGAGUAGGAUUCUUAGUUGUUGAUGAAUCUUCAGUAUGCCCUUAGACACUGAAGCAGUUUAUGUUAAUCUACUUCAGAGAUUUUGGCAGGGGAAAGGAAGGAGAAUUUUUCUAUAUGAAAAAAUGCUUCUAGAACAUCAUUAUCUUCCUUUUCCUAUGUAAUCUUUUGGUCUUUAUAGAAGCAUUUUUUUCUGAUAGUAAAAUUCUUAUGGUUACAAGGACACAUAUCAUUUUGGUAAUCACUCUUAGCAUAACAGACCAAAUUAGUUAACCAUAAGGAAUUUAUCAAAUUUUUGGGGAAAAAUAUUUCUGAAUUACUUAUAAACUUAAUCGAUUUUUUUUUGUGUGUGUUCCCCCUGAUAUUCUAAUUUGAGAGUUUUAAUUAAUAGACUCUGUAACAUAGUUUCAUGAGUCUAGUGUAUCAUGACUUCUGCUACCAUUGCUAUAGUUCACUCUGUUUAAUUUAUGAAUAUGGAUAUUUUAUCCUUUAAACAGUGAUAAAUUAAAUGAAGUUAAAGGUGUAAUAUAUUUGACACAAAAUUUGUUCUAAAUCAUGUUAUACUAAAGAUGGCUUGGAUUUAGAAUUUUAUAAUCCUUUAAAUUCUUUCUGCCAAAAUUUGGUUUUAUCAUCAAUGUUUCAUUCCAACUUCAAUUUUGUCCCUAAACUUCUAUUUCUAUAUUAUCCUUUAUUUAGUGUUGGUGUUGUUUCACUCUGACAAACAUUAAUAUCCUCUACUGGACCUACACAUCCUACAUGGCUAGUUUCUACAGCAAAUGCAAUGGGUUAUGUAGUGCUUUAUCCCUUUCUGACCGAAACAUCAUCCACUCACAAAGCAUUACCCUGCUAGAUUUCAAUUUUAAUUUCCUUAAUCUUGAUUAAUAUAUUGCUAAUCAGAGAUAUAGAAUCUGGGGCAAACUCCACCUGCAAUAGCAGAGACACAAAUCUGAGGCUCUGCAUUUUUUACCUGAUAGUGUCAGAGGAUGCAUAAAAGGUCAUCAUCCGGUAGUAUCAGAGGAUGCAUAAAGGGCCAUCCCUAUUAAAUUAUGAUCUUAUCACAUUUUCCUCAUGUUAUUUUAAUAAAUUUUACCGUCAGAACAUCAGAUUUGGGAAAAGAAUUUUUAUGUUUCUGGCCUUGUAAACUAAAAUAUUAUUACAAGAUGCAUAUGCUUGAACAUAUCUCUCUUUUCCUUUUAUUGGUUCAAUCUCUAUGAGGUACUCAAUGUUGGAGUACAAGUGUGAGGUAAAAGUGAAGUUUCAUAUCGAGUAGAAAUGAGAAGUUUGAACACCAUAUAAAUGAGACGAAAACCCAUAAAUCCCGGUGUAAUGUUUAUUCCCCUCGGUUUUUUAACAAUUGAUAUUAGAGCCGAUGAUUCGACUUGAUGACUGUUCAAACGAGUAAAUGGCGGUGGUGAAUCCAUGGAUAUAGGCAGCGAGUCUUGCACGUGUUACAACGGUGAAAGGUACUAGAACAUGGUUGCUUAUGUUUCAUUGCUGUAAAUCUCCUUCAUGUUAACCUCCUUUAGAUUUCUGCCAUGAGACAAUAUAGAAUAUGCUGAAAACUUGGAGCUUUCACUGAUUGGUCCAUCAGUGAUACUUAGGAGUUGUUUGAUUUGACAAAAUUUACUGUUAUUGGAUGUGCAGAACACCUGACAUGUCUGCAAUGCUGAUCUCAAUGUGGUUGGAAGCAAACUGAAGAACAUUUUGUUGGUAUAUAGAACUCUCUAUUCUGUUUGGAUUAAGAUUUUCCAACAAGUCUUUUACAGCAUGUGUACAUUGACCUUUAGAAAGUUAUUUCAAUUGAUGGCGAUGUUAAGGUUCUCUAUGAACUUAUAAUUAGUUAUCAAUUAUGAUGCACAAAUAUGAUACAUGUAUGCUAUAUGAAUUCAAUAUGAAUACAUUAUUAAAAAUAUAUAAAAAUACGAUACAUGUAAAAUACAUACAUAUAUAUAUAUAUAUAUAUAUAUAUAAAAUCAGAAAACAUAAUAAAUGCAUAAUAUAAUUGCAUUUCUGUAAAUCUAAGUUAAUAACAUUCUUCUUACUUAUUAGACACUGGUAAAAAUAAAAUAAAAAUUAUAAACCAUUGUCCUCAUAACUCACUUCCUAUUGUCUACAAACAAAAAUAGUAUCAAUUUCAUUCCUUUUUUGAGAUCAGCAAUAAAGAUGACAAUUUCUAUUUUUUGUUCAUAAAGGACAAUGCCUCUAUGUUUCUAUAUUGCACAUGUUUCUGUCUCAUAUGUAGUUAUUUUAGAUUUUCAUUAUAUUAAAGGUCUAAAUACUUGACAAAUACGAAUUGAAGUAUCUAAGGCCAAGAGUAUCAAUAUGAUACGUGAAGGAAAUUGAAGUAUUGGUGCUUGAUAGAUAAUUAGAGUCUAAAUUUUUAAUAUUUUAGUUCUAGUGUGAUUUAAGUUGAGAUUUCAAACAAAAUUAACACAUUAACAUUUUUCGAUAAAAAAAAAAAAGUUGAGACUUCCAACUUAUAUAAUUCACAAUGUGAUUGGAAACUUUGGUCAACUUUGUUCCCUCUUUUUCAAUAUUAGAUAUCUGAUACCUCCCUGGAAGUGAGGAAGGUGGUUGUUGAGAUCUGCAAUAUUAUUGCCACACGUGGUGCUCGUCUUUCUGCUGCUGGAAUCUUAGGUAUCCUGAAGAAGUUGGGAAAAGACACCAUCAGUGAAGUUGUGGGUCAGAAGAAUGUGAUAGCCAUGGAUGGUGGAUUGUUUGAGCAUUACACUGAGUACACCGAGUGCUUAGAGAAUACCCUUAAAGAGUUGGUUGGUGAAGAUAUCUCCGAAAGUAUUAUCAUUGAGCAUUCCAAUGACGGUUCAGGAAUUGGUGCUGCCCUUCUGAUAACUGCUAAAUAAUAGUAAAUUAAUAGUGGAAAAUCGGUCUGAAAUUAACUUAGAAUUAAUUAUUUAGCAAUUAUUUUUGCUUUAAUUUGAAAAGAAUUAAUUAAUUUCGAAUUUUGAUUGCAGAUGUGAAAAAGGGAGGUACAACAAGCAAAAAGGAACAUAAAUAAAGAAAAAAAGAAGAAAAUCAGAAGAAGUCCAAGUCUAGCAAGGCGCUAAGCGCAGGACGCGCCCAACGUGCAAGAAGGCGAGGCGCUAAGCGCACGACACGCGCUGAGCGCGAGGUGGCGCUCAGCGCAAGGCUUCGCGCUCAGCGAGACUACGAUGACCCAAAGCCCAAUUUUGCACCUAUAAAUAAGAGGGUCAGCCUUGGAAAACGAACACACUUCCUCAUAGUUCAGUUUUCAGACUUCUGGCACUCAGUUCUCUCCUUUUCCUUCCCUUUUCUUAUAUUCUUAUUACCUUUCUUUCAUCCCCUUCUCAUUGUAAAGCCCUCAUGACUAUGAGUGGUUAAACCCCUAGCUAGGGCCUGACAUGCCUAAAAAGCCAAUGAUGUAUGGAGCAUUUCAAGAGUUAUCAAUGAAAAAAGGAUUUCCUUUCAGGUUCGUUUAUUUAUCGUUCUUUCUUAUUUAUCCUGUAUCUCGGACCUUAUUUUCUGUUAGGGUUUAGUCCACUCGGGAGAGGGUAAAACCUAGUUAGGGGUAAGGAAUGAAUAUUUGAAUCUGUUUUAAGGGUUAUGCCACUCGGGAGAGGGUAACGCUUAAUAGAACAAUAAAAGGAAGAAAUUAUCGGGUUAUCAUUAGAGGGUUUUCCUUCCAAGAUCUUUUAUCUGUUUUUCUUUCUUAUUUAUUCUGCAUCUCAGUCUUUAUUUUCUGUUAGUCUUUAGUCCACUCGGGAGAGGGUAGAGCUUAAUUAGGGGUAAGGAAUGAAUGCAUGAAUCGAUUUUAAGGGUUAGUCCACUCGGGAGAGGGUAACGCUUAAUAGAACAAUAAAAGAAAGAAAUCAUAGGGUUAGCAUUGACCUGAUGCCCAUGCUUUAACAAACAUCUAGAAUUUAAUCUUAAUGCACCGUCUUAGUUAUUGAGUCUUCGCAAAGGGCAUUUGGAAGAUAGGUAAUUAAGGUAGGCUUGUCAUCAUGAGACAUCAGGGGCAAGUAGAUGGAUAGAUGUGAGACAGAAUCAGUUCACUAGUAUUGAUAACAGACAAAUCCUGAAUCCAUAUAUCUAGGUUGAUUAGACUUGUUAGGUUUUAGCAAUUUUAUUAUAUAGAUUUUAUUUCUUAUUUUAUUGUUUCGUAUUUUAUUAUUGGGUUUUCUUAGAAUUAGUUAUUCCUUAUUUUACUGUUUGGUCUUAUUAGAAGUAGUUAUCCCCUGUUUGGUCAUAGAGGUUAUUAGCAAGAUUAAGUUUCUUAUGUAUAGACAAGCGCACCUGUUGCAUUUGUUUUAGCAUCUUGAUAUAUGUCUUCUUGUAUUAUGGAGACUUUUGAUUUUUUUAAUUGCGGGGUAUGCCCCGUUUAUUAUUGUAUGAUUUUGGGUUUAAUAUAAUUUACAUUUUUUCCUAAAAAAAAAGAGUUAGUAAUAUUUUAUAGACUUUAUUCUUUAUUUAUUGCUUUAGUUUUCUUUAAUUUAGAAGUAGUUGCUUAUAUUUAAAUUACCUUUAAUUCUUUUAUCUUUUUCCUUAUCCUUUAAUUUUAUCUUUAAAUCUUUAUCUUAUCUAUCAUUCUUUAUCUGUUAUUUUAAAUUUAUUAUCCCUUACUUGAAAAAUUGCCUUUAAUUUUAUACACUAAAUUUACAACUUGCAAACUGAAAAGUACUUCACAUAAGUGCAACAAAAUCUCUAUAGUACGAUACUCGACUUAUCAAAAAAUUAUUACUACCAGCAAUUUAGUAUUCUUGAGAAAGAACUAACACCUUCUUGCAGCCUCUCACUCCCGGUACCUUGAUGGUUAGCAAUAAUGAUCAUGAUAUUGGGGUUUGUAUCAAUUAUAGUAUUUUUUUUUUGUCCAUUUAUGGCACCAGUAGCAGUAGUCUUGGGAGUUGGGAGGGUUGAAUUGUACACAGCCUUUACUUUAAUUUAAGCCAAUCUUGCAACAUUAAUUUACUCUACACCAUUUCUUUAAGUUCAUGUAUUUAAUUCUUUCAGGAGAAUUCUGCAAUUUUCUCUUGUUAGCCUUAACAUCAUUCAGUAUCAUAUUUCACAUCAACUGGUCCAAUACUUUGGUUAGGAUAUGAUACCAUUUAUGCCAAAAUUAUUGGAUAGGACUAAAGGAGUUUAUGGAUCAAGUAUGCAAAAGUUGGACUAGGAAGCAGCCAUGUGACACUCUUGCCUUUUGAGGUAAAUUGAUGGCCAAGUUCGAUCUUCACUUGCCGUUUACAAUUAGGCAUCUCAUUAGUUUGUCUAUUUGACUUAUUAAGGGUUUUAAUCUACAUCAUAUUAAUAUGUAUUAAGGAUAUUAAUUAAAAAUCAAUAAAUUUUUUUUUCAUCUACAAUCAUAAUUUAAUGCAUUGAAAGUCGAGUGCAGAUUCUCUGGAGUGUAAUGGAACAAUAUUUAGAGUAGUAACUUAUUGGCCAGUUUAACUCCAAAACUAUACACCUAACCACACUAAAUUGUUUUUUUUUAUAAAUACACACCUACAUUUAUUCUAUUUUAUUAUUUUUUCUCUAUUUUUAUUUACCUUUUGAGUCUUUUCACAUUCAAAAUAGAAAAAAGAAGGAAGCUAUUUCGUGUGCAAUUCAAAAUCCAUGGGAGUCUAACUUGUAAGCAUCUUGAUUCCUUUUCGAUUGCACUGUUGUUAUUUUACUUGAAAGGUCCAUCGCUAAAUAAUGUGAGUGUGAUAAUUUCUGAUAUUAUAAAUACUAAACUAAAUACUUUUCUAAAAAUAUUAUUUUAUUUCUAUGGUCAUAUUAUUUUUAGAAAGUCAUUUAUAAUAAAUAAUCACAAGUGUUAAAUGCUUCCAAAGGAUAAAAAAAGAAGAACAAAAAUUAUACUCGUUCUAGAGUAUUAUUUGUUUUCUGCAUUUUUUUUAAAAACGUUAAUAUGUAAAACUGUGAAUACGUUAAAUGCCUUAAGUUAUAUUAUAGCAUACUUCUUUCAAUAUUCCUUUCCAUUCUCAUGAGGUGUUGUUAAAAAAAAAAAGGACAACAUGAUAAAAUAAACGAAAUAAAAUAAUGCACGUGUGUAUAAAAAAAGAUCUAGUGAGAUUAGGUGCAUAGUUUUAGUAUUAAACUGGCCAAUAAAUUACUUACUGCUCUAAAUACUGUUUCAUUUCACUAAAGUGGAUCUACACUCUUGAAAAUCAUGAAAGGAAUACAUUGAGAAUAUUUUUCAUAAAAGAAAUCACUUUUAAUUCCUCAAUCAAGAUGAUAAGAACACUUGUUUUAGUAUUUUCUUAUUUUAAUUUAGGUUUAAAAGUUAGAAGAUGAAUAAGUUCUUAUAGUGUAAAAUCUAUCAAAUGAAUCCCAUCAAUUUCAAAAUUAUUUUUAAUAGUCUUUUACCUGGUGUUUUGUCAGGUCUUAAAAAAGUUAAAAAUAAUAUCCAAUCAAAAUAGAUUUUGAAACUGAGGACAUAUUUAUAAUCUUAUAUAACUAUUUUAAAAUUUGAAGAUUAUUGAUGCCAGUAUUAAUUUAUUUUACCUAUAUUAAUUUGCCUUAUAUGUGUGAGGACAUAUUUGUAAUCUUACAUAACUAUUUUAAAGGCUUGAAUCCCUAGCUUAUUUAAGUAUUUUGACUCAACACUUAUUUAAGAACUUCAUUGUCAGAUAAGUCUUUAAAUACAUUUUUCAGGCUAAAUGAUACUUUAAGAAAAAAAUUAUGCCAUGGCUAAAAAAACACCUAAUAUUAAAUAAUAAAUAGUAAGUUUUUUUUAGGAUAUAUAAAUAGUAAGUUAUAUCUCAUAUUUUAUAUUUAGAAAAUAAACCUUGCCUAUUCAAUUAAAGCUCGCACACCCUUAUUUAGUAAUUUCCUUGCCCAGAAAGAGUAUUAUCAGUCUCAUAUAUUGUAUGAAGAGAUAUGUGGAGAAACAGAAAAUAAGGAAAGUGCAGAACAUGACAGAGUUACAGAUCGGACAAAAAUCAUGGGAUCUGCGUGUUUAUUGCGGAAUAUGGAUCAUGCAAAUCACUCUCACUUGUGAAAGUUUAAAGGAAAAAAAAAAACAAAGAAAUUCAGAAAAGCCACUAUGGCAAUUUCAUUCAUCAAUAUUCAAUUUCUUGACAUAUAAAAAAAUGUGACUAACUUAAUUUAAUUUUGAUUACGUGCUCAUGUCUAAUUUGAAGUAUUAUCUAACCAAUUUAACCGGCACUUAACUAAACAGCUUUUAGAAUAAUUAAAAAUCAUUGACAAAAGUGGUUUUUUUUGGCUGUGUUUGUGCCAACAAAGAAGGAACUUUUGAGUGUGCUACUAGUGCCCCUCUUUUUAUUCUAACUUUGAACUUUGACACCAACCAAAGAUGCAAAAGUUUUGAGGGGCAUGUUUGGAGUAGAGUGCAAUUUCUUAGCUUACCGUGUCAAAGGCAUGAGGAAUAUAUUUAUGAGGGGUCAGCGCUAGCUAGCUGCAGCAAGUCUUGCAUUGCUUUGCUUCCAAUGCUAAACAACCUAACUUUGUUGCUUCA
rnacentral:lncRNA from 1 species